UUUUCUCUUUUCUUCCAUUGUUCUUUUUCUUAGUAAUCUUCAUAUGUUUCUUCACAUUCUUCCCAUAACAAACUAAUAUCCAAAGAAUAAAUUUCUUGAAAUCAUUUUUUGUUAUUUCUUUAUGAUUUCUUCUACAAUUUCUUUCAAAAUUAUUAGUUAUACUUCCAAAAAUACACAACCUUAACAAACAUUCAUCAGAUUUUUUAGAACUAGAUAAUCUCUUUUUUUUUCUUGGUGAUAUCCACCAUUUUUACCACCACCGACAGUGGACUUCCUCUGGAGAAAACCACCGUCAGCUAGCACUAUCAUCUAACCUACUAUCGCAGCUACCAGGUCGUCGGAUUUCAAGCCUCCAGAUGUAUCCGAACCUCCGAUAUGUCGUUAACUACCAGAUCGUAUGAUUUAUUUAGAUCAGAUCUAGAUCUGGUCGGAUUUUCACCGGGAUCAUCCAGAUCCAUCGUCAAUGAGCACCGACGCCUUCAUCGCACCAUAACCACAACCUUUCGGUACCACCAACAACGAACACCACCACCUGCAAUCAUUCCAGAUAUGCAUAGGUCUGGUCAGAUCUGGUUAGAUCUGAUAUUUAGAUGCAAUUUUGUUAAGCCUUUUGUUUUCCGGAGAGCUUCUUUGCCUCAGAUCGUUGGGAGAGUCACUAACUGACAUCAUCAUCUCAAAUCUAAAGCCAAAUACAUAUACCGAUUUCUCGGAUUUGGUGAGAUUUGUUGUGUCUGAUGUAUUUUCAAACAUAAAUCUAAUGUUUACAAAGCAUUUCAUGGUGGCCAGUUGUUGUUCCACUACCACCUCAGAUAUGAAAACAAUGUGCACACAAGGUGUUUGAUGAAAUGCCUAAACGAGAUCUGUAAGUUUUUAUAUUAUAAAUAAGUGUAUGAAAUUGUGUAUCAAACUAUGAACUAGUGUCUGAAAUGUAUAUUAUACUAUGAAUUUUGUUUUUUAUGCAUUAGUCUGUAAAUUAGUGUCUAAAAUGUUGAAUUAAAAAACAUUGAAUUAAACUUUGAAUUAGUGUCUAAAAUAUUGAAUUAAACUUUGAAUUAGUGCGUGAAAUAUUGUAUUAAACUGUGAAUUCUAAUUUUUUUAUCCAGAUCUAAAUUUUAUAUUUGUAAAUGAGUUGUGAAUGUAAUAUAUUAAACUGUGAAUAUGUGUUUCUUAUGUAUUAAUUUGUGAAUAUAUAAGUUAUUAAGUUGUGAAUGUGUAUUUUUUUUUAUGUAGUAAGUUGUGAAUUAGUGUCUGAAAUAUUAAAUUAAGCUGUGAAUUAGUGUCCGAAAUGUUGAAUUAAACUGUGAAUUCUGAUUUUUUUUUUAUGCAAAUUUGAUUUUAGAGGGAAAGAUGUUGACAGUAUUGGCACCGAUGGUCAGUGGUCGAGAUGGUUGAUGGUAGUGGAUAUUGGUGGUGGUGGUAGAGUAAGGAUAUGUUCUAUUUCUCACUCAUCUUCAUCUUCUUCACUGAUUCUUCGAUGAUUUCAAAUAAGUUAUCCUCUUUUAUUAUUCAUGUAUAUGUUUUUUUCUUUUGAUGUUUGCUUCUGAAAUAUGAGAUAACUUAUUUAUGUAUUAAACUGUGAAUGAGUUUUUUAUACACUAAAAUAUGAUAUUAUACUUGUAAAUGAGUUGUUAAUGCAUUAUAUUAAACAAUGAAUUUUAUAAAUUUUAUUAACAACUUAAUAUAAUAAUUUCACAAUUUAAUAUACCUCCAGAUAUGAACGUAUAGAUGUACGCGUUAAGUUGAGAAUAUGGUUGUGAAUAUAUAACUUUUGUUUAUUAAAUUGUGAAUAUAUUGUAUUAAGCUGUGAAUUUUUUGUAUAAAAAUAUGAAUUAAGCUGUGAUUUGACUGUAAUAAACUAUGAUUUUUUUUUAAUUUUUUGUUUGCUUCUGAAAUAUGAGAAGAAUGAAUCAUUAUACACAUAUAUGAUUUUUUUCUAAUUAAAAUUAAUUAUAUAAAAUUUAAAGUGUGAAUAUUGAUUGAACGUAUAGUGAAUUAAACGUUGAAAGAAGCAUUAGCCUCCAAUUUAAAAGGUAUAAAUAUAAGUUUUAAGUUAAGAAUAUGAUAUUUCAAUAUACUAAAUUGUAAAUUUAUUAUACUAAGUUGUGAAUUUUAUGCGGUAAACAGUAAUCGACAAUAUUAAGUUUUGAAUUGACUGAAUUUUGCUCUAUUUUUUUUUAUAAAAUUUGUGUAAAAAUAUGUAUGAUGUGUGUAUGAAUUUUUGUAUUAAUGUUCUUAUGAAUAUAUUUAUGUUGUGUGUAUAAGUGUGUAAGAAUACAUUAGUUUUUAUAACUAAUUUGUAUUAAAUUCAGUGAGUGAAUUAAUAGAUUUAUUAAACUACAAAUGUAAUAUCUAACAUGUCAUUGUGUAACAAUAUAUACAUAUAUGAUUUGGAAGGAAGAUUAGUUGCGACAUUAGUGGAGGUGGUUGGCGGCGUCAUGUGGUGGUGGUAGAGUGGGGUUUGAGUUCUCUGAAUUUAAGAAUUUAUAUAAGAUGGAUUAUAUUAAGUUGUGAAUUUUGUGUAUUAAUUUGGAAACUGGCUGUUUAAAUUUGUAUUUUAUAUAAAAUUUGUGUUAAAAUAUAACUGAAUGUGUGAAUGAAAAUGUUAGCCUAAAAAAAUUACAAUUUUACCGUUUUCUUACCAAAAAGAUAAAGGUAUAGUUUUAACAUAUUUGGUAAUAUUCACAAUAUAUAUUUAUUUAUGAAAUAUAGGUUUUUAGGGUUCUUAACAUUUUAUGGUUCUUAAAAAUUUGUAUUUUAUAUAAAAUUUGUGUUAAAAUAUAACUGAAUGUGUGAAUGAAAAUGUUAGCCUAAAAAAAUUACAAUUUUACCGUUUUCUUACCAAAAAGAUAAAGGUAUAGUUUUAACAUAUUUGGUAAUAUUCACAAUAUAUAUUUAUUUAUGAAAUAUAGGUUUUUAGGGUUCUUAACAUUUUAUGGUUCUUAAUUGAAUAUAUAUAUAUAUAUAUAUAUAUAUAUAUAUAUUAAUCUUGUAAUAUUAUAUUAGUAUAGGGUUGAAUUUUAAACUUGUAAAAAUUCUAGGGUUUGAAAUUUAAAUUGUGUAAGUUAAACUUUUAAUUACAAAACAUAAAUUUCAAAACAUGAGGGCAAGUUUUAAACCUUUUAAAACAUGGGGAAUCAAAUAACAAAUAAUCUAAAUUAACAAUUAAUCACACAAUUAUCCAUAUUUGAUUUAUUUAAUGAUUUCUUGCAAAACAAUUUACCAAUUAAAUUAAAAUAAUUAAUCAAUUAUCACAUAAGGAAACAAAUAUUUUAUUAAUUGAUAAAUAUCUUCAAUUAGGUCAAGAAUAUACUCAUAUAUAUCAUAAAAUCGGAUUUAUAUUNAUAAAUGGAAUUUUACCAUCUAAUUAAAUUAUGAUUUCCUAAAUUUUAGUGACUAUGAUGACAAUUACCCAAAAUAUCUCAUUUUUUAGAUCCUAUUCUUUUAAUGAACAAAUAAUUAAUAAAAUCAUGAUUUAAUUUUUAUCUAAAAAAACUUUUUUUUUUCAUUUCAUUUUUCAUUUUUAUUUUUCGGUUUUAGCAAAUCAAAUAUCAAGAGAAUGAAUAAUUUAUCGGUUUACCUCAUUUCUUUUUUUAAAAAAAUAUCUUCAUAAAUAAUGAUUUAUACAUUUCAUUUUAAAAUGAAUAAAAUUGUAAAUUAUAAAUGAAUUAACUCAGAUGUAUUUAUGAAUACACUUGUAAAAUCAUAAAGAAAAAAAACCCGAAAAAAAGAUUAUAAAAUCAGCUAAAAUGAUACUCAUAUAUAAAUAAAUAAAACACAUUUCUAUUCAUAUAAGAAUAUAAUUAUAAUAGUAAAUGAAUAAGUUACAAUAUAUAUAUAUUUUUGAUACGGAACCUAGUACUACAAUUACAAUCAUAAAUGAAUAAAACAUCUUUGCGCUCCUUUCGAAAUCUAUUGGUGUUGGUAUUUCAUUUGGUAAAUCUCCCACCUCCCACUAUAUGCAUGUUUAUUCAUUGGAUAUGCAAAAAUGUUAAAGAAACAAUUAUGUAUAAUUAAAUAGUCAUUCACACAUGAAUACAUUGAUAUUCACAAAUGAAUACAGUCUAUUCAUAAAUAAAUACAAAAUAAAAAUAGUGUAAAAAUUAUCAUUUCUUAUUCUUCGUUCCCUGUCAAGAAUAACCACCAGGAUGGGGUUGUGUUUCCGGUGAAAUCAAAAGGGGCAACCGCCUCUUGGCUUUUUCCCCUCACCUGCAUUGUCGUGGCUGCUUUCCUUGCUCCUCUCGAACUAGCCUCAUGGAGUAUUCAUUGAUGUUAACUGCAAAUGAGACAUCUGACAUUGUAUUCAUAUAAGAUUACAACUAAAACAUAAAGGGUCUGUGACUUGUAACAACUUACUGAGUGUAAAAGAAAAGUACAUCAGGUCCAACAGUUAUCAGAUUAGCAAGAAGAACUGUUCAUGACACCAAUUGCAACUAAAUAUGUAAACAAGUAGCCAAAAAAGAAACAAUCAGAAUAACAGUAUAUGAUUUACUUGGUACUUAAUUACCAUAUCAACAACAAUUUGGCUAGAUUAGAACUCAAAUACGUCGUCACUUGCAAUAACAAAGAAUGGAUGAUUAUGAGUGAGUUGAGUUACAGAACCUUGAUGGUCAGGUUUAACGGAGAUUAGAGCUCUUGAAUCGCCGACAUUAGCCACGUAAAGCUGAUCAUUUACAACAAGGACAAUAAUCGCAGUUGUGUCACUCAUGGAAUCGUCGAUGUCUGGAUUGUCGUGGAGUUCAUUGUUAGUUGUGGAGAAAGCGGAGUUGUAAGCUUUUACGGGAUCUUCCAACAUAACAAAGAGGAUUGUAAGAAGAAUUUGAAUAAUUGAAACUAAAAACCUUAACAACGAAAUUAAAGAGAUGGAAAAUAGGUAUAUGUUGAAUUCGAUAGUACCUGAUUCGAUGAUGUGAGUGUGCGAAAACAGGGGGAAGAAGGAAUUAUGCUACAAUCAGAAUGAAGCUAGAUACGGAAGGAAGCUACAACUUGCGUAUGUGUAUAUGCGAUAACAUGGGAAACACCAACUGGAAUCAGCGAUUGGAUGCAAAGAUCGGAAGCCUCAGGGAAGGGAAGUAUCGAUCGUGACUUAAGAAGGUAUGGAGGAAAAUAAUUUUUGGCAGAAUCGAAGAUGGAGAGGUGGGGGUGUGCGGCCAAUUUUUUCAAAAUAAUUAGAUUAGGGUUUUCUAGUUAAGAAGAGAGAGAGAGAGAGAGAGAGAGUGAGAGAGAGAGAGAGAGAUUAUAGGAAUUUUUAUUUAAAUAAAUUAUAUGGAUUUCCUAAUGUACCCUUCUUGCCAUUUCAAAGUUACAUAUUUAGCACAUCAGUUUUAUAAAUGUUCAUAAAUGGUCCAGUUAAUAAUAGCCAUAGAUCUAAUUAUUUACAAGGUUGUGAUCUGUUCUCGCAUUCUCAACCUUUUUGGUGUUCUUAUNUUCGAAUCGCUUCAUUAUUCGGGGUUGUGGUCCAAUCAUCAGUUAUCAUAAGACUUAAGGACUUAGGAAAGAAAGGAUUUGGCCAUUUUUGGAUUUGGGGGUUAUAUUUUAAGUGAUCUGAGUGUUCAAUGGUGUUUCGGAGCCCAAGGGUAUAAUCGUAAAUUGGCAGUUCAGGCCUUUAUGAAUUUUAGGUUUUUGUCCGAGGAGUUUUAAGGCUAAGGUGAGUUGUUAGAAGUGUAGGGCUUAUCGUCACCUUUCCGUGGAUAUAAAGUUCGUCGGAAACGGACUUAGGAUGAAGGAGUUAUGGCCAUGUAAAGUUUUAGGGUUUUGGAAGGUCAUCUAGUACGCAGGGCGUACUAGGUGUAUACGCGGGGCGUACCGAGUUAAAUGAUCGUGAGUGGUCCAAGAGUACGUCGGGCGUACUCCCUUCAACACCAAAUCCUAAUUUUUGGAGUUUUAGCCUAUAUAAGCAACAUAUUAACUUUCCUCUUGUCAUUUUGGGUCAGCCUUCACCCCGCUUUAUCAUUUAGUGAUACCCUAGAGUGCUUGGAGUGUGUGUUGAAUCUUGGAAGAGUGUUGUUGGUGGUUUGUGCAAGAGAAGGAGAAGUUGAAGAGUCAAUAUUUGGAGAGAAGCUUAUAGAUCCGGUAUUUACAUCAUCAUUUCGUGACUUUGAAAGUAUCAAGUCUCCAUCUUGCUUACUCAUUAAAUAGAUCUUCUUUUGGUCUUGUUUAGUCAUUUUAGUCCCUCUUGGUUGGUCCUUGUGAGCUUGGGUUGUUUCAGAGGCUUGAUCUUGUAGAUCUGGACAUUUUUGGAGUCCCAAAGGCAUAAAAAUGUGAUAUUUAUGGUUUAUUUGGACUCAUGCAUGAGUUAAGACCCUUCAUUAAGCUCUUUUGAGCUCUAGAGCCCCAUUAGGCCAUGUAUUCAAGUAAAGUUGCCAACUUUACAUAAUAAGUCAUCCAUAUGAAUCAAAAUUGAGAGUUUGGAGCAAGGACUUAAGUGGGAGAAUGGGACUCAGGGGAGUACACUUGGCGUACCCAUCUGGUACGUUGUGCGUACUGGCCCCAAAGGGUGUACGCGGGGCGUAAUCGACCUGUUGGGAUUUUCUUGUAUUGUUGACUCUUUUGGCAUUUGACCAUUGACCGGAAGUGUACUAGGGUUGACCAUUAGAUAUUUUGGGCCUUCUUAGGAUUGGUCCAUGAUGGAUUUGGGACCAAUUUGGAUAUUUAGGCCUUAUUGGGCCUUGUGAUGUCAUUUCUGAUUUGGGCUAUCUUUUGGACUUGGUUGCUUGGGGCUUUGUUGGGUCAUCUGAGAUUAUGUGUUUUGGAUUAGGGAAAAGUUAAUGGUCUUUAGGUUAAGGCCCAUGUAAGGGUUUGGGCCCAAUUUGGAAAAUUGGGCCAUAAGUGGGCUUUAGAUGAUUAUUGGUUUGUGGGCCUUUAUGAUUGUGAGUUUGGGCCUUAGUCUUGGACCACACUAGAUGAGGGGUAAAAUGGUCUUUUUACCCCAUAUUUGGAUUGUUGGAUUUGGUUUGGAACCUAAUUGUUAAUUGGGUGUUAUUUGUUUGAUAGCGACGAGAUUUUAGCAUAUCAACAGUCAGAGAUUUAUUCAAGGGUUUAGUUGUUGAGGUGAGUUUCCUUACUGGGUUUAGAUAGUCGAAGGCACUAAUGUUGACCCAUGGUUUUUAUGUUAGAGUGUUAGAUGUCUGUGUAACUCUUGCAUGUGUUAUGAGAUGGUAUGCUUACCGGGCAAGGUUCGAUGUCAGGCGGGGCCUGAUGAGUAUAUUGUAUGCUAGUUAUUAGUAUAUGUUUUUAUGCUUACCGGGAAAAGCCCGAUGUUGGGCGGGGCUUGAUGAUGGUAUGGUAUGUUAUAGUCUUUUUGAUUAUUGCAUGUGUUAGUAAGGGUAGAUGUUUAUAUGAUUAUAUGGUUAUAUGAUUAUAUGUGUAUCGGGCGGGGCCCAAUGCUGGGUGGGGCCUGGUGAUUGACAGAUCUGUAAUCCGAGCGGGGCCCAAGGUCGAGUGGAACUCGAAACCGGGCGAGGUCUAAUGGAGGCAGGGGCCAAGUACGUGAUUUAUGUAUGUGUGGUAUGAGGUAUCUGUAACUCCCGCGUUUCUAGGCUAGGCAUUAUUGUUGAUGUAAUAGUCUAGGUUAACCCUUGUAACUCUUUUUUAAGUAUUAAUGAUGGAAUAUUUGAGUAUUAUGUGAAUUAUGUGUUUAUUUUCUUAAAUAUUAUAAUUUAAUGAAUUAAGAAUAAAAUAAGCGUCAAAAUUAAAGUGUGAGAUAAGUCCAAUAUCUUUUCUUGAAGAUGUAGUGGUUGAAACAAGGAUUCCGAAGAUAUAACGAAUGCCGAAAUCUGAGUUAUAACGAAGAAGUUAUGACAUGUUGAAGUUUCGCGACAGAACCGACAACGUUGAAUGACGUAAAAAGUGAAAUUUACGUUAUAGCGAUAUUUAGCCUUAGUGAUCUAAAUGAAAGUCGUAGAGUUCGUUAAACCGAGAGCGUGCAUAAAAAGAACGCCCAAAUCUGACUUUGUAUGAGGAAGUUAUGAUUUUCUGAAGUUUCGACUUAGCAGUAUGCAACCUGAAUACUCGAUUUGAGAUCUAGCGGCUUUUAGCUGAAACAAUCUAAAUGAGAAUCGUAGAUCUCGUUAAUAGUAGUAAAACAAUAAAAAGACAGGCGAAAACGGACGAUAGAUGAAGAAGUUAUGAGUUUAUAACGGAGUUUUCCUGUCCCGGCCUACUAAAAAUAAUAUAUUUAUAAUAUAUUAAAAAUGAAUUCAAAAUUAGCCAAUGGAGUCUAAAUGAGAGUUGUAGAGCAUAAUCUCACCUACGCAUGAAUAUAAAGAACAUCAAAAACAGAGCUCGUAUGCGAAAGUUAUGAAUUUCUGAAGUUCGGGGCGUAAACCCCAAGGCUGUGUCAGAACUCACGAGGUGAAUAUUAGAAACUCACGAGGUGAGUCAGUACACGAGGUUAAUACUAGAAACUCAUGAGGUGAAUAGGUGAUGGACGUCUUCCAGGGCAAGUGGCCAUGACGAACGCAAUGACGUAUCAAGCUCACGAGGUGAAUAUUAGAAACUCACGAGGCGAACUCAGAAAAUUCACCCUAUAAAUAGAAAUCAAGGGUCAGCCGAUUUAGGUUGCUCAUCUCUUACUCUCCCAUUCCCGAUACUCCCUCUAAGCCCAAUUUUAACCCCCUGAAGCCCCGGUAUCAUUCCCGAGACCCGAAGCCCCGAAGAUCCUGAGAAGUAAAAUUCCCGAGCCGAAGCUCUGCCUGUGAGAAUCCCGGUUUUUGUGAAGAUCUUCCAGAUCUACCGAAGAAUACUACUUCUACAAGUCGUAGUGUUGUCCGAUCAUCUUCUGAUCAAGUGAGUGUGUAGUUACUUUCUUCUAACCAUUAAUUAUCAGGUGAGUUUCCCUUUGUAUGAAUGGGUCUACGGCCACAAUGCCGACCCAUGUAGUUAUGAGUAGAAGACCCGGGGGUUAGCCCUAGGCACAGUAUGCUAGUAUGAUAUUCGGACGAGGUCCAAUGAUAGAGGGCGGGUGCCCAAUGAGCGGUUUAUGUGAUAGUUUGUACUUGUUGUCUGUGUGAUACUUGUAUGUGCCUGGUAGGGAGGUGAGCGUGGGCGAGGUCCCGUAUCUCACCAAUAGCAGAGUGUGGAUGGUGUUCCACAUCUCAGUAGCAGCAGAGCAGGGGCGAGGCCCAACUCAGGAAAGGAGUGAGGGUGGGCUGGGCCCGUAUCUCACUAUCAGCAGGAGUAUGGACGAGGUUCCAUGACUCAUCAGUAGCAGGACACGGGCGGGGCCCAGAGAUAGGCGAGGCCUUAGAGCAAGAGUUGUUAGUAUAUGUUUAGUUUAUGUAAUGUUAUGUGAUAUGUUUAUGUGCUAUUAUAUGUUAGUGGGCGAGGCCCUGUGACAGGCGAGGCCUAAGUGAAACAGAUCUGUAUCCGAGCGGGGCUCGAAGCCAGGCGGGGCCUGGAGCGGCGGGGCCGUUGUANNNNNNNNNNNNNNNNNNNNNNNNNNNNNNNNNNNNNNNNNNNNNNNNNNNNNNNNNNNNNNNNNNNNNNNNNNNNNNNNNNNNNNNNNNNNNNNNNNNNNNNNNNNNNNNNNNNNNNNNNNNNNNNNNNNNNNNNNNNNNNNNNNNNNNNNNNNNNNNNNNNNNNNNNNNNNNNNNNNNNNNNNNNNNNNNNNNNNNNNNNNNNNNNNNNNNNNNNNNNNNNNNNNNNNNNNNNNNNNNNNNNNNNNNNNNNNNNNNNNNNNNNNNNNNNNNNNNNNNNNNNNNNNNNNNNNNNNNNNNNNNNNNNNNNNNNNNNNNNNNNNNNNNNNNNNNNNNNNNNNNNNNNNNNNNNNNNNNNNNNNNNNNNNNNNNNNNNNNNNNNNNNNNNNNNNNNNNNNNNNNNNNNNNNNNNNNNNNNNNNNNNNNNNNNNNNNNNNNNNNNNNNNNNNNNNNNNNNNNNNNNNNNNNNNNNNNNNNNNNNNNNNNNNNNNNNNNNNNNNNNNNNNNNNNNNNNNNNNNNNNNNNNNNNNNNNNNNNNNNNNNNNNNNNNNNNNNNNNNNNNNNNNNNNNNNNNNNNNNNNNNNNNNNNNNNNNNNNNNNNNNNNNNNNNNNNNNNNNNNNNNNNNNNNNNNNNNNNNNNNNNNNNNNNNNNNNNNNNNNNNNNNNNNNNNNNNNNNNNNNNNNNNNNNNNNNNNNNNNNNNNNNNNNNNNNNNNNNNNNNNNNNNNNNNNNNNNNNNNNNNNNNNNNNNNNNNNNNNNNNNNNNNNNNNNNNNNNNNNNNNNNNNNNNNNNNNNNNNNNNNNNNNNNNNNNNNNNNNNNNNNNNNNNNNNNNNNNNNNNNNNNNNNNNNNNNNNNNNNNNNNNNNNNNNNNNNNNNNNNNNNNNNNNNNNNNNNNNNNNNNNNNNNNNNNNNNNNNNNNNNNNNNNNNNNNNNNNNNNNNNNNNNNNNNNNNNNNNNNNNNNNNNNNNNNNNNNNNNNNNNNNNNNNNNNNNNNNNNNNNNNNNNNNNNNNNNNNNNNNNNNNNNNNNNNNNNNNNNNNNNNNNNNNNNNNNNNNNNNNNNNNNNNNNNNNNNNNNNNNNNNNNNNNNNNNNNNNNNNNNNNNNNNNNNNNNNNNNNNNNNNNNNNNNNNNNNNNNNNNNNNNNNNNNNNNNNNNNNNNNNNNNNNNNNNNNNNNNNNNNNNNNNNNNNNNNNNNNNNNNNNNNNNNNNNNNNNNNNNNNNNNNNNNNNNNNNNNNNNNNNNNNNNNNNNNNNNNNNNNNNNNNNNNNNNNNNNNNNNNNNNNNNNNNNNNNNNNNNNNNNNNNNNNNNNNNNNNNNNNNNNNNNNNNNNNNNNNNNNNNNNNNNNNNNNNNNNNNNNNNNNNNNNNNNNNNNNNNNNNNNNNNNNNNNNNNNNNNNNNNNNNNNNNNNNNNNNNNNNNNNNNNNNNNNNNNNNNNNNNNNNNNNNNNNNNNNNNNNNNNNNNNNNNNNNNNNNNNNNNNNNNNNNNNNNNNNNNNNNNNNNNNNACUUGUCGAGAUACUUCUGAAACGUCCCAGAACUCUCUCCUCUCGAUUUGUGGAGUUAUCUUUAAAUAAGCGAUUCGACUCGUCGAGUCACGUGGUGACUCGUCGAGUCCCUCUCACAUUCCCCGUAUUACGAUAACUAUCUGGACUUCUGAAUCAUUAUCCUUCUGAUUCCUCGACCGGACUCGUCGAGUAGCUAUCUGACUCGACGAGUAUAAGCUUUUUUUAGUGUUUUUCCUUCUUCAUUCCACUCUUGAGCUCCUAACUGCUUCUCUUGCUUCCUUUUGCUUCCGAGCUUCAUCUUUGGACUGAAAAACAUAAUUUAACACUUUUAAGUACCUUUUGUCCAUAAUAUGCGAUAAUUUAGCUAAUAUAUGAAUAAAAACUAUACUAAAUACACACUAAAUAUGCACAUAUCAAAAUACCCCACACUUGUCUUUUGCUUGCCCUCAAGCAAAACUGAAUUUUAACACAUUAGAAUUAUGUAUAACAACUCCAAUCUAACCCAACCAUUAUGCCAAGACCGCAACGCAUGCAUUUGUGUCUAAAAUUUUUCCUAAAGAACCCCCCAUAUUCCAAAUACUCACAAUCCUCAUAAACAUUCGCCCACUCACCCCGAACUAUGCUCAUUUUAUGCAACCCUCCGAAUCCAUCCUCAGAAAACCUCUUUACCCUCAAGGUAUUUUUAAUUGAGCAACCCAAGCAUACAUAUUCUAGAAAAUUACAAUUUUUCGAUACCACUAUGAAAUUCUUUGAAUUCUUCACUUUCUUGAUAAUUUGAUCUUUGAUAUCUUUGAAUUCACCAACUUGUAUUGACUUUUGGCAUCUUCAACUUUUUUGGAUUUCUUGGAAUUUUGAUCUUUUGAUCUUCACUUCAUUUGCUCCAAAAUUCUUACAACUUUUCUUGUAAUUCUCUCUUUUUUUUUUUUUCAUGUACCUUACUUUUUUUCACUCAAAACCCUACAUACUUAAGCAGGGGCGCUCAACUUCAACCUUUAUUGGCUAAUGAUAAAAAUCUUCCUGGAUACAUUUCAGGUUUAGGCUGCUAAACAUAUUGCAUCCCUCAGGCUGAGCAAGGUCGUGUUUUUGUCUCAUGAUUUCACUGAAAUAAGGAAGCCACAAAUGCACUAGAACGUAUAUAGGCUCAACUAAACAUUUGGGUUUUCAUGCAAUUAUUAACACAAUCCUAACAUGGAAUCCUAAUUUUUUUCACCAAAGUUUUCUAAUUAAGUCCUAAAUAAUACUUUUGGUAUGCAAAAUUUUUUAAAAUUGACUAUUAUGUAACCAACCCCCUACCCCACACUUAUGUGAUGCAAUGCCCUCAUUGCAUAUGAUGCAUAAAAACAUAAAAAGAAACUAAAGAGGGAAUUGGAACAAACUCCCCUGGGAUAGCAGUGGAUAGGCUGAUCACUCUCAUUUAAGCUCCAACUUCAAUCAACUUUAGACAUGGUAACAUCUCAUCCAUGCCUUGGGUGUCUCGUCUCGUGUGGGUCGCUCCAAAUACGCGGAAAUCAGUGUAAGAUCUUCAAGAAUGGAUAUGGAAGAAUAAGUGAGCAAGUGGGACAAGUAGCAGCAUCAAAUCAGCAGUCCGUCGGUAUAAAAAUUGAACGACUCGUCGAGUCUUAUGGUGGACUCGUCGAGUACCAGCGCGCCUUCUCAGAAUAUGUAGAAAUACAAGGCGACUCGUCGAGUCAGCUUAGUGCACUCGUCGAGUAGGCCACUGAACGAAAAAAACUUGGUAUUUUGCAACUGUUUUAGCCUCUAAAAACUUCUCUAACUCUUCCCCAUGUUUAGACUCAAUUGCUCAUACCCCUAAGGACCGGACUCGACACUUUGACGUUAAAGUUCUGCUUCCUUAACUUGCUUUCACUCGUGAUAACAUCCAUGCUAUAACUCUAAACCAUCCUAAGCAAGCAAUCCUAAUCCAAUCCUGAAAAAUAACUAAAUCAUACAAUCAUUAAACACAAUAAGGCGUUCUUUAGCAGCUGAUGGCAGGGUGAGGUCGGGAACUUAGGAAAGGCUAGGGAUUGCUUCGGUGGGUUUUGUUACGCUGGCUCGCGAGUGUUUGUGUAACACCCAAGAUUUUGAAAGCCAAGAAAGUUAAGGAAACCCUAAAUUUAGGAGGGACUCGGCGAGUCCAAGGAAGGACUCGGUGAGUCAGAGCGGGAUCCGGGUCGAGGAGUAAGUGACCAACUCGGCGAGUCGGCCAAGUGGACUCGGCGAGUCUGGUCUGUGCGAGGAAAACCCUAAAUCCGGGGCUUGGAGCCUAUUUAAACGUCUCAAUCUUUUUCCUAGGGCUCCUUUACAGCCUCUCACACCCAGAACGCCGCACCUUAAGCCCCCAUUGUGUUCAUUCAAGCUUUUAGCCAUUUUUGAGUGGUUUUAAGGAAGAAGAAGGAGUGGGAAUCUUUGAAGCAUCAAGGAGUGGUCUUGGAUCUGAAGUUUGGGGAGCAUUUCAGAGCAUUGGAAGGUAUUAAGUCGUUUCUCUCCUCCAGAUUUUCCUUGGUUAUGAGUUUUGGGGCUUUUAAGCCAUGUUUAAGACCAAUCUUGAGCUUGAGGUCCAGAUCUGAGGUUGCUACCUCAGAUCCAUGUUUGUUUUGGUAUGGAAUCCCAUAAAGUAUCAGCCAUUGGGUGGAAAUUGGAGUCUCUUGGUCCUAAACCCUAGCUAUGGGUGUAUUUUGCCUAGAUCUCCCUCUCUACACGUAAAGUUUGCAACUUUACGUGGGAAAUAGGCUUGGGGAGGGUAGAUCUACAGUUUGGAGCUCAUGCAUGACUCGGAAGUCCUCUGCAUGUAAGUGGAUCUUAGUGGACUCGACGAGUCCUUCGAGUGGACUCGGCGAGUAGCUUGAAGAUGAGGAGGAACUCGACGAGUGGGAUGAACAGCUCGUCGAGUCGGAUGAAGAUGGGCAUGAACUCGGCGAGUUGGAUGAACAACUCGUCGAGUUGGAUGAAGAUUGUCGUGUGCUCGGCGAGUCUGUUCUUAGACUCGGCGAGUCAGGUCGAGUGGUCCCAAACCCUUCGAGUUAAGACUCGAGUCAGCGAGUCGAGCCAGGACUCAGUGAGUUGGUCAGGACAGGAAUCGGGAAUCAGUAAACUCGGCGAGUCAGGGGCUGACUCGGCGAGUAGAGUCGCGAGUGGAAGGACUCUGGAAUUAUGAACUCGGCGAGUCAGUAGGGUGACUCGACGAGUAGGGUUGACCUGGAAGGUUGACUUUGACCAGGACGUUGACUUUGACCAGAGUUGACUUGGUUGACCUUUGAAGGUCAGUUAGACUAAGUGUUAUGUUGAUAUUGGUAGCUCGGGGAGCUAGCGGAGCAGCAGUUCGGAGUCAGUGGUCAGGUAGCGGUCAAAGGGGUUAGCAGCAGCAGUUCAGCAGUAUCAGGUGAGUUUCCCUUUGUAUGAAUGGGUCUACGGCCACAAUGCCGGCCCAUGUAGUUAUGAGUAGAAGACCCGGGGGUUAGCCCUAGGCACAGUAUGCUAGUAUGAUAUUCGGACGAGGUCCAAUGAUAGAGGGCGGGUGCCCAAGGAGCGGUUUAUGUGAUAGUUUAUACUUGUUGUCUGUGUGAUACUUGUAUGUGCCUGGUAGGGAGGUGAGUGUGGGCGAGGUCCCGUAUCUCACCAAUAGCAGAGUGUGGAUGGUGUUCCACAUCUCAGUAGCAGCAGAGCAGGGGCGAGGCCCAAGUUAGGAAAGGAGUGAGGGUGGGCUGGGCCCGUAUCUCACUAUCAGCAGGAGUAUGGACGAGGUUCCAUGACUCAUCAGUAGCAGGACACGGGCGGGGCCCAGAGAUAGGCGAGGCCUUAGAGCAAGAGUUGUUAGUAUAUGUUUAGUUUAUGUAAUGUUAUGUGAUAUGUUUAUGUGCUAUUAUAUGUUAGUGGGCGAGGCCCUGUGACAGGCGAGGCCUAAGUAAAACAGAUCUGUAUCCGGGCGGGGCUCGAAGCCAGGCGGGGCCUGGAGCGGCGUGGUCGUUGUAUCGGGCGAGGCCCGGGGUAGAGGGCGAGGCCUAGGAUAGCGGGCGUGGCCCAGUAUGUGAAGUAUUUGGUUUUUCAUGGUAUGUGGUAAGGUGGGGAACUCACUAAGCUUCGUGCUUACGGUUUUUAGUUUUGUUUUCAGGUACUUCCGGUAGCGGAGGGAGGAGCUCGGGGUGAUCGCAUGGCACACACCAUAGAUUAGUCAGCCUGGGAAUGUUUACUCUGAUAAUAAACAUGUGAUUUGAAAACUUAUACUCAGAUUAUGUUUUGGAAUGAUGUCUUUGUUUAAAUUAAUGUCUUAUUAAAAAGAAAUUUUUGGUCUUGAAUUUUGGGUUGUUACAGUUUGGUGUAUGGAUUUGAGAAGGUGACUUAGAGGAUUCAGGAGGAUUCUUGAGGGAAGUAUGGAUAGGUGUGGAAGGUAGUAUUGGGCCCAUACUACUAAAAGUACAGGAUCCAUACUCGAAUCAGAGAUAGUCUUAGGGAAUCUAAGAAGCUUAUGGGAUGAGGAUUCUUGGGUGUAUUUAGAUCUUUUGCAUGUUGUUUCGGUAUGGUGUUGAGCACUCAUGAAUAGGGUCAAAAUUUUGGUUAUGCUAGUGUCUGGAUUAUAUUAUCAAGGAUUGUGAUAUGCCAUUCUGCAUGUCGGGAGUCUUCGAUGAAUCUUCAGAGGGUCGUAUCUGGUUGAGUGGGUUCAACGUGUUCCGUUGUUGUUUCGGAUCAUUGUCAGAAUCAAUUCAGGAGUAUUGCGUGGAGGAUCUUUGGUCAGGGUUAGCAGGAUAGUUCUCUUAUGAAGUCAGAGUUCAGUGGUUUUAUCAUCUGUUCGGGUAUGAUAGACAAUUUCCUAUGGAAGAACUUUUGGAUUCAAGCACUACCGUUGUUAGGAGAGGAGCGGUAGCAUGAAGAUGGUGGUGUCAGUUGCAUGAGUUGUUUGGCAAUUGGAAGUGCCAGGGGAGUUUUAUAUCCACAUUGAUUGUAGACGGUUAGAGUCCAGUGAUUAUUUGAGAAUGGAAGUUGGGGGUGAAGAUUCGUCAGUUCAGGCAAGGGUUGUGGCUUUUUUUAUUGAUGAUUACAGCAAAUAUGACUAUAUCUACUUAAUCAAACAUAAGCCAGAAACCUUUGAGAGAUUCAAAGAGUUUAAACAAGAAGUGGAGAAUUUGCUGGGCAGGAAGAUAAAUAUGCUACGAUCUGAUCGGGGUGGUGAGUAUCUUAGUAUCGAGUUCCAAGACUAUCUUAAGGAAUGUGGGAUUGUUUCACAAUUGAUGCCACCUAGGACACCACAUCUUAAUGGUGUAGCUGAGAGGCGCAAUCGAACCUUGUUGGAUAUGGUUCGUUCCAUGAUAAGUCGUGCUUCGUUACCUAUCUCAUUCUGGGGGUAUGCCUUAGAGACUGUCGCCCAUAUCCUUAAUCCAGUCCCAACUAAGAAGGUUGCCAAAACACUUCACGAGAUGUGGACAGGGAAGGUUCCCUCGUUAGCACACAUCAAGGUUUGGGGUUGCGAGGCUUUCGUGAGACGCGAGACUCAUGACAAGCUUGAACCUCAUACUGAGCGGUGUAUUUUCAUCAGCUACCCACAUAAGUCCUUUGGAUAUCUCUUCUACAGACCUAGUGAAAAUGUUGUCUUCGUUGCAAGGAUAGGAGUCUUUCGCGAGAGGUAACUCAUAGGCCAAGGAGACAGUGGGAGGCAAAUUGACCUUGAAGAGCUUCAAGAGUCAAGCGGUGAAGGAACCUUAAACACUAGCAAUCAACCUGAGGAGGAAACUCAUGUUCAACCGGUUGACGAGUCCAUACCUUUGAGGCGCUCUAGUAGAGUUAGUGUUCCACCUGUGUUAUACGGUUUCUAUAUAACAUCUAAGGGUGAUACAUUUGUUAGUGAUAGCACACUGAUAAAUUUGAAUGAACCUAACAACUAUAAGGAAGCCAUGACAGGCCCCGAGUCUUCUAAAUUGAAAGAGGCUAUGGACAGCGAGAUUCAGUCCAUGUAUGACAAUCAAGUUUGGAACUUGGUUGACAAUGUACCGGGUCGUAAGACAGUCGGGUGCAAAUGGAUCUUCAAGAAGAAGACCGACAUGGAUGGAAAGGUACACACAUAUAAGGCGCGACUGGUUGUGAAGGGCUUUACUCAAACUCCAGGAGUGAACUAUGAUGAGACCUUCUCGCCAGUGGUGAAGAUUAAGUCUAUUAGGGUUAUGCUAGCCAUAUCUGCAUUUCAUGAUUAUGAAAUAUGGCAAAUGGAUGUUAAAACUACUUUCAUUAAUGGAAAGUUGGUUGAGGAUGUUUACAUGAGUCAGCCAGAGGGUUUUGUCAAUGCAAAGUAUCCUAAUAGAGUGUGCAAGCUUGAGAAAUCAAUGUAUGGAUUGAAACAAGCAUCUCGCAUAUGGAAUCUUUGUUUCGAUGAGAAAGUCAAAGAGUUUGGUUUUUCGAGAAGCGAGGAUGAGUCCUGUGUGUAUGUCAAGGCUAUUGGGAGUACAGUUAGCUUUCUGGUGUUGUAUGUAGAUGACAUACUUCUCAUAGGAAAUGACAUCCCAACCUUGUAGGAGGUUAAGUAUAUUGGAUAAAGUGUCUAAGUCCAUAAUUAUUUCUGGUAUGUACUUGACCCGGUUUGGCAUGGUCCAUUUGGGUUGCAUGGCAUCAUGCGUUUGGAUAGACUAAAAUGAGAGAAAUAACACUUAUGGUUUAUUAAUAUAUUAUAAGUUCUAAUAUAUUAAUAAUAUUAUUUAAUUAAUAUUGAUCAAGAAUUAAUUUAGAAUUAAUUAAGUGAUCAAAAGGUGACUAAUUAAAUAUAUGGGUUGAUUGUGUAAAUCAUUUAUACUUGUAUAGUGGGCUAAUGCUCCAUGGAUUAUCAAGUUGGGCUAAAACCCAUAAGAUGCUCCAUGGGUGCUCCAUGGUGGUUAUAUAACCCAUGGGUCAUGGAAAUGAAAGGUCAUGUCAAUUAGGGUUUGCAUGGUGUAAUCCAAAUUGUAACACGCUGUAUAAGGACCCUUAUGUUCACCAAAAUCGACACGAAAAGCAAGACAGAAGAGGGCUAGCUGAUUUCUAGUAGUGUGACAUUUCUCUCAAAGUUUAUUCCAAGUGUAUUUGGUGUUGUGUGAGACAUUUGAGGCAUCACACUUGGGGUGCUAGGCUCUUAAGGUUUUCCAAGGAAUCCAAACUACUACAAGGUAUGUUCUCUAGCUAACUUUUAUAUUGAAAAGUUCCCCAUGUAUGAUAGAUGGGAUUAUGAACCUUGGAAAUCAAUUUUUUCAUAUAUCUUAGUCACACAUAGAUCCAAGGUUUCUAGGGUUGCAUGAACACCUUAGGAGUGUUAGAUUGCUCAAAACCCUACUGUGGUAUCAGAGCCUAGGCUUGUUUGUUUGAUACUUGUUGCAAAAUAGCUGAAAAAGUCGAAAUUCUUGUUAUCUACACAUGAGACUCGCCGAUUCCAUGGGGGGGACUUGACGAGUCCAAGCGUAUCUGCAACCAACUCGGCGAGUCAGUUCUUGCACUCGACGAGUUGGCUAGGUAGAGUGCAGUUUUUCGACUUUUGCUACUGGAAAUGGACUAGAAACAUUACCCUAAACUGUUUUGGUGUUUUAAAACUUGUUUUAGAUGGUGUAAUGGUUGUUCUAAUCCAUUUACUAUGGCUAAUAUCAAAAUUCUAUGUUUAUAUGUGUCCAUAUGUUCUUGAAAUUUUGAUAUGAAUAUUCAUGUUCUUAUGAGUUCUUGCAAGAUCAUAGGAAUUAUGUGAUAUUGAUUGGUAGUUAAUUCAUGAUCAUGAUUGUUUUAAUGGAGUCCAUAACUUGUCCUCAAGUUAUGGAUAACCAAAAGUCACUUUGUAAUAAAUCCAUUAAAAGAACACAUAAGUUACAAAAAAUGAAGAAUCUUCAUUUUUAAUAAACAAUAACUCAUAAGUUAUAAAUUGAAAUGUUUUGUAAAGUUACAAAACUUGCCCUCAAGUUUUGAAACAUUUAAAGUCAUCUAGUAAACUUUAGUUCCAACCCCUAGAAUUUUAAAAGUUAAAAUUCAACCCUUAUACUUUAUAAUAUUAUAAGUUAAUAAUAAUAAUAAUAAUAAUAUAUAUAUAUAUAUACAUAUAUANNNNNNNNNNNNNNNNNNNNNNNNNNNNNNNNNNNNNNNNNNNNNNNNNNNNNNNNNNNNNNNNNNNNNNNNNNNNNNNNNNNNNNNNNNNNNNNNNNNNNNNNNNNNNNNNNNNNNNNNNNNNNNNNNNNNNNNNNNNNNNNNNNNNNNNNNNNNNNNNNNNNNNNNNNNNNNNNNNNNNNNNNNNNNNNNNNNNNNNNNNNNNNNNNNNNNNNNNNNNNNNNNNNNNNNNNNNNNNNNNNNNNNNNNNNNNAAUAUAGUGCACCCAUGAAAUUACACGUUGCACUUUGCUUAAGUCGUUAGUGGAGCAUGUGUGGUUAACCGGCAUACUAACCUGGACUUAACAAGGUAGGAAAAUGGUGACUUAAGGUUUUUCAUAGGUCGAUGGAGCGCGUGUGGUUAACCGGCACAUCGAUUGAGUGAAAAACAUUAAGGGUACCAAGUAACUUACAUGGUUACUUCACACCUUGUUUUGUGAUCCUUGGCAUCCCAGUCACAAAACAUGAAGGGAACAAUCGAGAUUAAAACAUACCCUUAAAAAGUUCAAUGAACUCAAAAGAAUCUCUGAGUUUCUAAAAAACCAAUUAAAACCUAAUAAUUUAUAUUUCGGUUUUUGUGGUGGAAAUUGGUGAAUUGUCAUUCACCUACCUUUCAAGUAUGUUAUAGCUUAUAUUACGGCAUCGCUCUUCUAAGUUAUAAUAUAUUGUGAUUGGAUCAUAGCCUUAAUAUUACAUUUGGGUGUUUUAUUAAGGACUAUCCUUUUAUCUAAACUAAACUUGUUUUCUUCUUUUCAGAUGUCAACCAAUAAUGCUACUUCUGGCUCAAACCCUACCGGCUCCUUCUCUCUCAUGAACCUUUGUGGAGAGUCAUCUUUGAUGGAUCCAACUUUAUGGAUUGGAUCAGGAACAUCAGGAUGGUCAGUCGGUAUGAGGAGAAGGAAUAUAUCAUUGACAAUGAGCUUAAGGUUCUCGAGUCGUCUGCUUCUCCUGAGGAGGUCGCUAAAUAUGAGGCACAUGAAAGAGAUGCUACCAAAGUGGCAUGCAUCAUGUGGGCCACUAUGACAGCCGAGCUCCAAAAGUCCUAUGAGGACUACUAUCCUUUUGAGAUGCACCAGGAUUUGAUGGACCGCUACCAUCAGGGUGCUCGUCAAGAGCGAUAUAAAAUCAUCUCCUUUAUGAUAAUAACCCAAAUGAAGGAUGGUGAACCCAUCAUGGGCCACAUGCAGAAAAUGUAAAGGUAUGUGGACCGUUUGCUGAAGCUAAAUGUGAACUUUCCCGAGGAGUUAGCAAUAGAGAUCAUUUUGCACUCCUUACCAUCGUGUUAUGAUCAAUUCCACAUGACAUACCACAUGAACAAGGAGAAAGUUACCCUCAGCAAGCUUCAAGGACUCCUAAAGACCACUGAAACAGUUCUUAAAGGUAAGUCGGUUGUUACCACUCCUACUCCUACUCCAAACUCUGCUCAUGUCCUGGCAAUCGGGAAAGGUAGAGGGAAAAAGAGGAAGAGCCCUUCAAAGGGUACCAAGGGUAAGACCCUUGAUGACUCCUCUUCAAGUGAAACCAAGAAAGUUUUCGUCACUCCUUCUUCUGACCCAAAAGAGGCUAAAUGUUUCUAUUGACAUGAAAAGUCGCAUUGGAAGCGGAACUGCCCAAAGUACCAGCAAGACAUAAAAGAUGGGAAAGUGAAACCCACCCAUGCAGGUAUUUACACAAUAUUGUCUAAUAACUCACCCUAUUCUAACUCUUGGGUCCUUGAUACAAGAUGUGGAAUUCACAUAUGUUCUAAUUUGCAGGGACUAAGAAGAAGUGAAUUUGGAACAUGGAAAGAUAAACUUUAUCAUGGGGAAUAGGAAAGCUUCACUUGUCACCAAGAUUGGAGUUUAUUCUUUGUUGCUAAGUAGUGGGUUUACAUUAGAUUUGAAUCAAUGGUGUUACUCCCCUGAAUGGCAAGAAAUAAUAUUUCCUUUCAUGCUUUGUACAAACAAGGGUUUACCUUUUCUUUUGAUAAUGAAGUUGGUGGAAUAAAUGGUUUCUUUAAUAAUGAUCUUUAUUUUAAAGCAUUACCUUGUGAUGGUGUGUAUGAAGUUGUGUCUGUUGUAGAUAACCUAGGAAAUAAUGUGUUGUGUAUUGAUUCUUCUAAUAAUAAUAACUUAGAUAAAGCAUCAUUAUGGCAUUGUCGUCUUGGACACGUAAGCAAGAAACGCAUAGGCCAACACCAAAAGGAUGGAGUCUUGGAGUCAUUUGACCUAAAUUCAGAUGAUAGUUGUGAAUCAUGCUUACUUGGAAAAAUGGAAAAGUCACCCUUUACUGGUUCUUGUGCAAGGGGUGAAGGUUUGUUGGAUCUAGUGCACAUAGAUGUGUGUGGACCCUUCAAAACUGCCACAAGGGAUGCUAAUCGUUAUUAUGUGACUUUUACGGAUGAUUAUAGUAGAUAUGGAUAUGUCUACUUAAUCAAGCAUAAGUCAGAGACUUUUGAAAGGUUUAAAGAGUUUAAACAAGAAGUCGAGAAUCAAUUGGGCAGGAACAUUAAGAUGCUUCGAUCCGAUCAUGGUGGUGAGUAUCUUAGUACAGAGUUCCUCGACUAUCUUAAGGAAUGUGGGAUUGUCUCACAAUUGACACCUCCCAGGACACCACAGUUGAAUGGUGUGGAUGAGAGACGUAAUCGAACCUUGUUGGAUAUGGUUUGUUCCAUGAUGAGUCAAGCUUCGCUACCAAUCUCAUUCUGGGGGUAUGCCUUAGAGACUGCCGCCCAUGUCCUUAAUCUAGUCCCUACAAAGAAAGUUGCCAAAACUCCUCAUGAGAUAUGGACUGGAAAAGAUCCUAAUCUAGACCACAUCAAGAUUUGGGGUUAUGAGGCUUUCGUGAGACGUGAGACUCACGAUAAGCUCGAACCUCGAAGUGAGAGGUGUAUUUUCAUCGGCUACCCACAUAAAUCCUUUGGUUACCUCUUCUACAGACCUAGUGAGAAUGUGGUCUUUGUAGCAAGGAGGGUGUCAUGAGAGAGAGAGAGAGUUCAUAUCCUAAUCUAGACCACAUCAAGAUUUGGGGUUAUGAGGCUUUCGUGAGACGUGAGACUCACGAUAAGCUCGAACCUCGAAGUGAGAGGUGUAUUUUCAUCGGCUACCCACAUAAAUCCUUUGGUUACCUCUUCUACAGACCUAGUGAGAAUGUGGUCUUUGUAGCAAGGAGGGUGUCAUGAGAGAGAGAGAGAGUUCAUAAGCCAAGGAAACAGUGGGAGACAAAUUGACCUUGAAGAAAUUCAAGAGUCAAGUGGUGAAGGAACUUCAAAUUCUAGCAGUCAACCUGAGGAGGAAACUCUUGUUGAUCCAAUUGACGAGUCUGUACCUCUGAGGCGUUAUCCAAGGGUUAGGAAUGCACCUGAGCACUACUAUGGUUUCCAUGUUACUGCGGAAGGUGAGACACUUAGCAAUGAUGAGACACUGGUAAGUCUGGAUCUAACAACUAUGCGGAAGCCAUGACAGACCCCGAGUCUGCUAAAUGGAAAGAAGCAAUGCACAGAGAGGUACAGUCCAUGUAUGACAAUCAAAUUUGGAACUUGGUUGACAAUGUACCAGGUCGUAAGACAGUUGGGUGCAAAUGGAUCUUCAAGUAGAAGACCGACAUGGAUGGUAAUGUACAAACGUAUAAGGCGCGACUGGUUGCAAAGGGCUUUUCUCAAACUCCGAGAGUUGAUUAUGAUGAGACCUUUUCACCAUUAGCAAAGAUUAAGUCCAUUAGGGUUCUGUUAGCCAUUGUUGCAUUUCAUGAUUAUUAAAUAUGGAAAAUGGAUGUCAAAACCACUUUCCUUAAUGGAAAGUUGGUUGAGGAUGUUUACAUGAGUCAGCCAAAGGGUUUUGACAGUACAGAGUACCCUAAUAGAGUGUGUAAGCUUGAGAAAUCCAUCUAUGGAUUAAAGCAAGCACCUCGCAAAUGGAAUCUUUGUUUCGAUGAGAAAGUCAAAGAUUUUGGUUUUUCGGGAAGUGAAGAUGAAUCUUGUGUAUAUGUCAAGGCUAGUGGGCGUAUAGUUAGCUUUUUGGUACUGUAUGUGGAUGACAUACUACUCAUAGGAAAUGACAUCCCAACUCUGCAGGAAGUUAAGUCCUGGCUUGGGAAGUGUUUCUCUAUGAAGGACCUAGGAGAAGCUGCCUAUAUUCUAGGGAUAAGGAUUUUGAGAGAUCGGAGUAAAAGACUAAUUGGACUUAGUCAGNUUGAAGAGGUUCAACAUGCAAGAUUCCAAGAAAGGAGAGUUACCCAUCCAGAGUAACGCCAGAUUGAGUAAGACUCAGAGCCCAAGUACCGAGGCUGAGAUAGUAGAAAUGAGUCGAGUACCUUAUGCUUCUACUGUAGGCUCGAUCAUGUAUGCUAUGACUUGUACUCGUCCUGAUGUAGCCAUUGCUAUGAGCAUGGUCAGCAGAUAUCAGGGGAAUCCAUGCAAGGCUCACUGAACCACAGUAAAGAAUAUCCUCAAGUACCUGCGGACGACUAAGGAUUGGGUCCUUACCCUUGAUAGGAGUGAUGACCUGAGAGUUGUAGGGUAUAGUGAUGCUAGCUUUCAAACUGAUAGGGAUAAAUUCCGCUCUCAGUUAGGUUGGGUCUUUACCUUAAACGGAGGAGCAAUUUCUUGGAAGAGUUCCAAGCAAGAGACAGUGGUUGAUUUAACUUGCGAAUCAGAGUAUAUAGUGGCAAGCGAGGCAUCAAAGGAGGCGAUAUGGCUGAAGAGCUUCAUUAGAGACCUUAGAGUUGUACCAGCUAUAAAGGAUCCUAUGGAAAUUUUCUGUGAUAGUGAAAGUGCAGUUGCUUUAGCGAAAGAACCAAGGGAUCAUGGGAGAUCCAGACACAUCGACAUAAAAUACCAUUUUAUCAGACAUUGAAUAGAAGAAGGACUCCUCGUUGCAAAGAGGGUAUCAUCGGAUGCGAACCCAGCAGAUCCCCUCACGAAGGGACCGGGUAGGGUUAAGCAUCUCCAACAUGCGAGGCGCAUAGGGCUGAAGGAUGAUAUUAGUUUUAGUAGUUAGAUAGCUCUGAAAUAUGUAAAAUGUAAUUGACAUUUGAUGAUUAAUAAAAGUUGUGUUUGUUUAUGAGUAAAGUGUUGCUAUCUUUUGUCAAUCAUUUACUAUAUUUCUUUUGCAUGUUUUGACUUCCAGAAUAAUUAUGUUUGGUAUAUCAUAUUAUUCGAAUUCUCCACAGUCAGUCAUAUGUUGGAAGUAGGUAUGAAUCAAGACUAUCAUGAGUUGGUUGCAGAGGUCUAAGUUGUUGGACAUAGCAACGACACUCAUGAGUGCUGAUAAGUUCUGAGUAUUGGAUUCAACCCACGCUCACUGGUAUCACUUCAUGGAAUUUAUCUCGAGUGAUCGUGAGACGGUAAUAUCAUAUAAGUCUUAAAACCUAGAUAUUUAUAGGUUUUGGUCCUAAGAACAUCCUAUGUGCUCAUACAAACCCUAAUGCUUGGAUCUAGGUUUCUCUAUUGUACAUGCAAGUUAUCCAAGACUAUAAACCCUAAUUCUAGCAUACAAGUAAUCAUAUUAACAUAAGAAUGGGUUUAAGAUGUUACCUUGAUUGUUAUGUAGCAAUAACAAUCCCAAAUCUCCUUGUAUUGACUUUAGAAAGCUUAGAGUCACAAAUGUCACUCCUCUAAUGGUUCACAAACACCAUAAGCAAGAGGAUGAAGAGGAGAGAGGAUGGAGGCUGCCCAAAACAUGUUCUAACCCUAGAAGAAGGCUUCACCACGUUUUUGGGUCAUAAGGGUCUUAUAUAUAGUUAGGCAAUUAGGGUUAUCUAACAAGGAAACCCUAAUUUGGAUGCUUAAGCCCUAAGCAACCCAUGGACUCCUUUAAUUAGGGCCUUGGACGAUUUCCUUAUGGGUUUCCCCAUAGAAUUCGUCCACUCCUUAAUUUAAGACAAUCCAUGGCCCAAAUUGCAAUUAUCUUAUAAUUACAAUUCCAGUCCCUUAAGUUUAAUUAAUCUCUUUUAGUCACAAAACUAAUUACCAAUUAAUUAUUGACUAAUAUUAAUUAAACAAUAUGAUUUCUCCUUUAAUAUAUUAUUCCCAUAAUAUAUUAAUAAAUCAUAUUUAAUCCUUUCUCUCCAUAAUUCAUCCUAUCAAGUUGCUUUGGUGAAGGCAACCCAAAAGGACCAUGCACCAUCGGGUCAAGUACAUACCAAAAUAGUUAUGGACUUAGACACUAAUCCAACAGUCUCCCACUUGGAUAAGUCUAAUAACUAUUCUGCGUAUGACUUCAGAUCCUGAUCUGCAAUCGUAGCUUUCCAAAGCCGCUGUCAACUCUGAUCCUAUCAGAUACGCGUGUCCUUAGAUAAGGGAUCAUAUAUUCCUCCAUUCUAGAUAUCAUAUGAGAUAUGAUUUCAAAUCAUUCUCUUUGUACUAUAUCUCGAUUCCCGAUUUAUGACGACUGACUAAUUGAACAAAUCAAAUUAGCCCUAGCCCGGCCGAGCAUUUACGUUUGUCAUCACUAAAUCAUCGAGGGGCCCAAAGAUAUCGCUUUUAUCCUACUUUGGAUAAAAGGAACGGAUAAACUUUGAUACAAUGCUUGCUUGCACUUACUCACCGAAUCACACACAACAAUAUGUUUUAUAACACCAAGUUACUAGUGCGUUUACAUAUUAUCAAUGUGCAACCGAUUUGCAAGAUACAACUCACACAUCUCGGUUUCAAGAAUAUAAGAUGUUAUCGUCUCACCAAUCACUCGUGAUACAAUUCAUGGAGUGAUCCAAGUGAGCGUGGGUUUAAUCCAAUGCUCAAAUCAUAUUCAUAAGCACUCAUGAACGUUGCAGCAAACAUUUGCUUAUGUCUAAUACUCUUUAGACAAUCCACACACCAAUUCACGACAGUCUUCAUUCAUACCUACUUCCAACAUAUGAACGACUGUGGCCCGUUCGAAUAAUUUGACUGUUCUUAACCAAUUAAAUUAUUCAGGAAGUCAAAACAUGCAAAGUGAAACACAAGAAUAAUACUAAUCCCAUAUGGCCUCAAACCUUUGAGUAUAAAUAAAACACCUUUUAUUUAUCACCAUAUCGAUUACUCAUUAUUUGUCGUUUCGGGUAAUCAACUUCUUACUUGAAUUAUUACACUUGUCCCAUGCUCCUAGCAUGCACACAAUGUUUACCUAUGGUUCUUACUUUGUGAAAUAGAUCAAAUUGAACACAUUUCCAAUCAUUCUCAUUUCACAACUCCAAAUCCUUUUUCAUAAGUGAAAGAAUAUCAAAUUCUUGCUACUUAUAGAAUAUGCUAGAUUCUAACAUUUUAUGCAAUGAUCCUUUCGUAAUGUCACUGCACCAAAGUCACAAAGACUAUUGCCAAUGAUAUUACAAAGUCCUCUAUCGGAGAUUGUUACAAGACAAUUCCUUAGAUAUGAUGUCUCUCACUCAAAGUACAUUCCUUUGAACAUCCUUUUGCAUAAAAGUUUCUAAUCUAGACAUAGAUUUUCAAUAUUCAAUUCCCAAUAUGGACACGUUUCCAUAUUUUCCAUAUGACAACUCAUUCUUAAUAGAAUCUUAUCUAUUCAUAAUAAUGUCGAUAUGGUCCAUCCAAUAUGGAAACAUUUCCAUAUUUUCCAAUACUAUACUUCCAACUACUCACAAGCGACCAAUCCUCGUCGAACUUUGGAUUGUCCUUUGAUAGUUGUUUAAUUAUUUUAGUCAAAACCGAUUCUAGUCCCUUUUCCCUCUAAAUGCGCUAGACAUUUGGAAAAUUUUAGAAUGGUCAAACAUUAAAGCAUUUGCAAUCGAUCCUAUACCCGAAGCGUAUGGGACACGACGCAUAAUGUUUUAUUUGCUAUGUUCUCAAAAUUCGAAUUGUGAAGAGGAAUGCCGUAAUCAUAAUCGAAAUUUUAAGAACACACUAUGUACCUUUGACUAAAUUUAUUAACAUUUCUCAACCUAAUCCUUUAGAUUUGAAAUGAAGCAUAAUAUUCUCUCCCUUAAUUAUAGCAAAACAACCUUUCAACUCUUACAACUUUGCAAAGUAUGACUCUUGUUUUCUAUAAUUAAUAUUGCUAACCUUGCAAUACUUUCCUUAAUAAUCAUACAAUCAUAACAUUUAUGCUCCCACUAUUAUGAUGAUUAUUAUAAACUUAACACUUAUGCUCCCACUAGCUUCGACAUGUAUUCAUAAACAUCUUAACUUUCAGAAAAACAAUACCUAUUGAAUUUCAUAAGUCCAUGUUUCUAAUACCUAAUGCUUUGAUAACCUUUUAUCAAGGAAUUUUGAACUUAUACACCUUUGCCUUAGAUAGUUCAUAUGUGUGUCUAAACAAUUAAGACUAAUUGCCAAACCUCACAAUUCAAAUUAUGGAAAGGGAUACCGUAAGCAUAAUCGAAUUUGAGAAUGCAAUUUUACAAUCACUAUCUUCUUAAAAUCUUUCUUAGUGAAAGCAUUUCCUCAUAAUCAUUUUCAUGAAGGAGGAAAUCUUAUGACACUUAGAUUUAAACGGUGUAUUUGUUCCUAUUCAUGUGAAUUUGUCAAAACCAAAGUUUACGACAAAUUCAAACUCAUAUGGAUCGAACUUUCUUAAUCUCGAUUUCUUGCCUUAUGGUAGCACAGCUGCCCACCAUGUCUUCCAAGUAGUUAAGCAGCUCACCUUUUCUUAUCAAUGUACUUUCCAUUGAUCAAGGUCCUUGCCUUUUAUGCAUUCAAAUGAGAACUCAUAGGACUCACAUGCAUAAUUAACUCGAUUGGAUUGGCACAGAAACAAAAUAAUGUCAACACGAUAGGUUGUAAACCUCAACUCGUGUGCUAGUGAUGAUCGAUAAGGUUUAUUUGAUUUGUUCUUGAAACCUUUCAAGACCAUUAAGACUCCCACUGACUCCUUGACAUAUAAGAUUCUCUUGUCAAUAAACAUUUCUUGACAAACAAAUAUUCAAGAGUUAGUGUAGNNNNNNNNNNNNNNNNNNNNNNNNNNNNNNNNNNNNNNNNNNNNNNNNNNNNNNNNNNNNNNNNNNNNNNNNNNNNNNNNNNNNNNNNNNNNNNNNNNNNNNNNNNNNNNNNNNNNNNNNNNNNNNNNNNNNNNNNNNNNNNNNNNNNNNNNNNNNNNNNNNNNNNNNNNNNNNNNNNNNNNNNNNNNNNNNNNNNNNNNNNNNNNNNNNNNNNNNNNNNNNNNNNNNNNNNNNNNNNNNNNNNNNNNNNNNNNNNNNNNNNNNNNNNNNNNNNNNNNNNNNNNNNNNNNNNNNNNNNNNNNNNNNNNNNNNNNNNNNNNNNNNNNNNNNNNNNNNNNNNNNNNNNNNNNNNNNNNNNNUGGGUUGCAUGGCAUCAUGCCUUUGGAUAGGCUAAAAUGAGAGAAAUAACACUCAUGGUUUAUUAAUAUAUUAUAAGUUCUAAUAUAUUAAUAAUAUUAUUUAAUUAGUAUUGAUCAAGAAUUAAUUUAGAAUUAAUUAAGUGAUCAAGAGGUGACUAAUUAAAUAUAUGGGUUGGUUGUGUAAAUUAUUUAUACUUGUAUAGUGGGCUAAUGCUCCAUGGAUUAUCAAGUUGGGAUAAAACUCAUAAGAUGCUCCAUGGUGGUUAUAUAACCCAUGGGUCAUGGAAAUGAAAGGUCAUGUCAAUUAGGGUUUACAUGGUGUAAUCCAAAUUGUAACACGCUAUAUAAGGACCCUUAUGUUCACCAAAAUCGGCACGAAAAGCAAGACUGAAGAGGGCUAGCCGAUUUCUAGUAGUGUGACAUUUCUCUCAAAGUUUAUUCCAAGUGUAUUUGGUGUUGUGUGAGACAUUUGAGGCAUCACACUUGGGGUGCUAGGCUCUCAAGGUUUUCCAAGGAAUCCAAACUACUACAAGGUAUGUUCUCUACCUAACUUUUAUAUUGAAAAGUUCCCCAUGUAUGAUAGAUGGGAUUAUGAACCUUGGAAAUCAAUUUUUGCAUAUAUCUUAGUCACACAUAAAUCCAAGGUUUCUAGGGUUGCAUGAACACCUUAGGAGUGUUAGAUUGCUCAAAACCCUACUGUGGUAUCAGAGCCUAGGCUUGUUUGUUUGAUACUUGUUGCAAAAUAGCGGAAAAAGUCGAAAUUCUUGUUGUCUGCACAGGAGACUCGCCGAUUCCAUGGGGGGACUCAACGAGUCCAAGCGUAUCUGCAACCAACUCGGCGAGUCGGUUCUUGCACUCGACGAGUUGGCUAGGUAGAGUGAAGAACACCAUAGGGAACAUACCUUGUAGUCAAACAUAGAAUGCUUAAAACCCUACAAAGUCCUGGCUUGGGAAGUGUUUUGCUAUGAAGGACCUCAGAGAAGUUGCUUGUAUUCUAGGGAUAAGGAUAUUGAGAGACAGGAGUAAAAGACUAAUUGGACUUAGUCAGAGUUCCUACUUGGAUAAGGUGUUGAAAAGUUUUAACAUGAUGGAUUCCAAGAAAAGUGACUUACCCAUCCAAGGCAAUACCAAACUGAGUAAAACUCAGAGUCCGAGUACAGAGGCUGAAAUAGUUGAGAUUAUUCGAGUACCAUAUGCUUCCGCAGUUGGUUCGAUCAUGUAUGCUAUGACUUGUACUCGCCUUGAUGUGGCAUUUGCUUUGAGCAUGGUCAGCAGAUAUCAAGGAAAUCCUGGUAAGGCUCACUGGAUUGCGGUAAAGAACAUUCUCAAGUACCUGCGGAGGACUAAGUAUUGAUCCCCUCGGUGGGAGUGAUGACAUGAGAGUAAUGGGGUAUAGUGACGCCAGCUUUCAGACCAUCAGACAUAAUUUCCGCUCUCAGUCAGGCUGGGUAUUUACCCUGAAUGGAGGAGCAAUAAAUGGGAAAAGUUCCAAGCAGGACACUGUAGCUUAUUCAACUUGCGAAUCAGAGUACAUAGCAGCAAGCGAGGCGGCGAAGGAUGCAAUAUGGCUAAAGAACUUCAUCGGAGACCUUGGAGUUGUACCAGCUAUAAAGGAGCCUAUUGAGAUUUUCUAUGACAGCGAUAGUGCGAUUCCUUUAGCUAAGGAACCAAGGGAUCAUGGCAGACCCAGGCACAUCGACAAAAAAUAUCACUUCAUAAGACAUCGAAUAGAAGAAGGGCUCCCUGUAGCAAAGAGGGGAUCCUCAUAGGAAAACCCAACAGAUCCCCUCAUGAAGGGACUGAGUAGGGUUAAGCACUUACAGGAUGCGAGGUACAUCGGGCUGAAGGACGAUUUUAGUUUUAAUGACUGUAUAGAAUUUUAGAAAGUUGUAAUAGUUGAAAUGUAAUUGACAUUUGAUGAUUGAAUAAAAGGUGUUUUUUAUUUAUAAGUAAUGUUACUAUUUUGUGUAAAUCAUUUACUAUUGUUUCAUUUUGCAUGUUAUGACUUCCAAAAUAAAUAUAUUAUUCAAACUGUCCACAGCCGAUCAUACUUUGGAAGUAGGUAUUGAGGCGAGACUGUCAUGAAUUUGGCUUGUAGAUUGUCUGAAGUGUAUUAGACAUAGCAAAGUUUGCUACAACAUUCAUGAGUGCUCAUAAGGUCUGAGUAUUGGAUUAAACCCACGCUCACUUGAAUCACUUCAUGGAAUUUAUCUCGAGUGAUCGUGACACGAUAAUAUCAUAUAAGUCUUCAAACCAAGAUAUAUGAGUUAUUGACUAUGAGUUGGUUGUACAUUGAUAGUGCGAAACCGCAUUAGUAACUUGAUGUUAUAAAACACACUAUUGUGUAUGAUUUAACAAGUAGUUAGUACAAGCAUAUAAUGUCGAAGUUUAUUUGUUCCUUUUAGUCCUUGGAGGAUUAAAAGCGAUAUCUUGGGCCCCUCGAUGAUUUUGUUUUGACUUAUGUUAUGGGCCCGGUCAGAACUCAAUUGAUGUGUUCGAUUAAGUUUUAUGUCAAACAAAUCGGAAACCGGGAAACAAACAGUCGGGCAAUUAGUAUGACAUUGUUCCAUGUAUUUGUCCAACUGAUAUCUUGAAAAACAUAGGAUUAUAUGAUGCCUUGUCUAAAUGACAUGACAGAAUUUGACAGAGGCUUUUAAGAGCUACGAUUUCUAGUCGGUUCCUGAACUCGUACUUGCAGCUAUAGUUAUUAGACUUAUCCAAGUGGGAGACUGUUGGAUUUAGUGUCUAACCCCAUAACUAUAAUUGGUAUGUACUUGACCCGAGAGUAGCAUGGUCCAUUUGGGUUGCAUUUCACCUGAACAAUUUGACAGAAUGCAUUUUUGAGAAGAGGAUAUUUAUGAUUUAUUAAUAUAUUAUAAGUUCUAAUAUAUUAAUAUGAAAUCAUAUUAUUUAAUUAGUAUUGAUCAAUAAUUCAUUUGGAAUUAAUUUGGUGAUCAAAAUAGACUAAUUAAAUGUAUGGGGAUUGAUUUGGUAAAUCAAUUAUUCUUAUAGUGUGGACCAAUGGUUAUUUAGGAUGGGUUAUAAGUACAUGGAUAGUCCAUGGAGGUUUAACCCAUGGAGCCUAAGUAAUAUGAAAGGUCAUGUCCGUUAGGGUUUACAUGGAUGUAACCCUAGACUUUGUCACACUAUAAAAGAAGCCCCUUAGCUCCUAAAAUCGACACUAGUGGUUCUAGGAGAUCGUAAGAGCCGAUUUUUGUGCAAGUCUCUCUCUCUCUCAAGUCUUCCAUUGUUGGUGGUGUUUUGUGAAGCAUUUGAGGCAUCACAUUUGGGGCGCUAGGCUCUUAAAGGUCCAAGUUAACAAGCUACAAGAAGAGGUAAGUCAUCUAACUAGUUUUUGUUAUUCAAGUACCCAUGCUUUGUAUGUUGGUUAGGACAAUGCUUUGGAAAAUCAAAUUGCAUGUAUAAUUAGAGAAAACAUAGAUCCAAAGCAUUUAGGGUUGCAUGUGCACNCAAUAUAUAUAUAUAUAUAUAUAUAUAUAUAUAUAUAAUCAUGCUCAAACAUACAAUGAUCAUAAACAAUAGCAUACGUUUCAGUUAUCGAGCCUCACCCGACAUCGAGCCUCGCCCGGUAUACAUAGCAGCACAUAACACAUGCAAGGGUCAUGCAGACUUCUAGCAUCCUAACAUAAACAAUAAGGGUCGGCAUUGGUGCCUUAGACCCGCUAAACUCAGUGAGGAAACUCACCUCGACUGCCGAAUCUCACUAAAAAAUCCUGGUUGCUGGUCCGACAAAUCCCCGAGCUAUCAAUACCAAAAUAACACCCAAUUAACAUUUAGGUUCCAAACCAUAUCCAAUAAUCCAUACUCGGGGUAAAAGUACCAUUUUACCCCUAACUUUGCUUGGUCCAAGACUAAGGCCCAAAAGCCAAUUAAUCAACCAAGGCCCAAUUAUGGCCUAAUUUUCCAAAUUAGGCCCAAACGCCUUACAUGAGCGUUAACCUAAAACCCAGCCAUUUUUCCUAGUCCAAAACACUUACACUCGGAUGGCCCAAUAAGAACUCAAACAACCAAGCCAAAAAGAAAGCCCAAACUCAAAGCCCAACAUGCAAAAUUUCACCUCGCUGAGUACAUGGGGCGUACUCAGCUGUACGCCAAGCGUACAUGCAAAAAGACUUGUACGUUGUGCGUACAAACUUGUACGCCCAUCGUACAUACCCAUUAAACCAAAUUUCUCUUUAAGCUCUUAAUGCUUAAGUCCAAAAGUCUAAAUCACAGAUCUCAGCCCUAAUAAACAUCUAGAACCAUAAAGUCACUAACUUGGUGACUUUGCAUGCCCCAUAAAGGCCCAACUUCAAGAUAUAGCAUAAUACUUUCACCAAAUGGACAUAAACUCAUGCAUGGGGAUUCUAAACCCUAAAGGUGCCAACUUUAUAGACCUUAAACCUCAGAAACACCAAGAGUGGCAACUCAUAGCUCCUGGAGUGGUAUUAACAACUAUAUCUCAUUCUUGGGGCCAAAAAGGGACCAAAACUCAUAUAAUAGAUCUAAGCCAUAAAUGAACAAGUUCGUAGCUUUAUACCUUAAACAAGUUGGAAAUUAAGCAAAUAAUCAAGAUCCACAAGCUCUUCCUUGAUCCACCACCUUGCACCAAGCCUCUACUUUUUGAAUAUGGACCAAAACACACCAAAAUGGACACAAUGAGCUCAAAACACAAAGGAGAUGCUUAGGGCUUUGAAUAUGAGGCUAAAAGGUCAGAGGAAGUUGAGAAAUAAGGGUUUCAUGAGCCAUAAAGAUGAUUAUAUAGUGUCCAACCCCAAAAUUAGGGUUUUCAUUAAAGCACACAUUCGCCCCGCGUGCAUGGAUGUACGCCUCGUGUACGUGUCCGGAACCCCGUCCAAGCCUCGCAUGAGUACGCUAAGCGUACAAUGUGGUACGCCCCGCGUACAUGCUUUGCAGUUUGUAUGCCAAGCGUAUCAUGUGGUACGCCCCGCGUACAACACAAAGACCAAAAUGCAAUUAAUCAAUACACAAGGGGCAAUAAUGAACAUACCAGGAUUCCAAAUGUUACAUUAUAUCAUCAAUACAAAAAUGAGUUUAAAAAUUGAAUAUAAAUAAUUUAUAAAAUAAAAAAAUGUUUUAUUUUAUAUGUUUGUAAGCAUAAAAAGAUAAAUGGUUUUGCUUUUGUAAAAUGGUUUUGACAUUGUAUAAAUUAAAUGUGAAUAACAACACCGUGUGCAUAGUAGGACAUUUUAUUUAAGUGAACUAUUAACUUUUGAUUUUUUCAAAAAGUUAAAAAAUUAUAAAAGAUUUGAAAUUAUUUUUUACAUAAGAAUAGAUGGUUAUUUUUUUAAAAUACAACUUUUACCUUUUAAAAAUAUAAACUAACUUUAAAAAUCAAGAAAUAUUAAACAAACCUUUUUAAAACAUAAAUUAACUUCAAAAAUCAAAAAAUAUUAAACAAACAGGUAUUUUUCACUUUUUUGAAGGUGAUCGUUUGACUUUUACCCCCUCAAAAAAGUUUUUUUACACAAAAUAAAAAAAUCAAUCCCAAACUCCCGUAAACCAAUAUGCGUAUACAGUAACAAUAAUCCAAACUCGAAAGCAUCAAAUUAGACAAAAAAAAUAAUGGAGUUUGAAUAAACAUAAGUAGACAAACUUGAGUCCAAUAAUUGACUGAAUCUCAUCUAUUGCAUAAACAUAGAAUCACUCAAGAAGAAGAAUUCCACAAGAAAUUAAAAACUAAUUGAUUCGUGAGCAUCAAUUACACAUCCGAUACACGGUGAUAUCCGAUGAAUUUGUAUUAAGAGAAUCAUUCGAGAUGAAGAAUUCGACAAGAAAUUGAUAAAAAGUAACUGAAUUUGUAUUAAGAGGCAUCAAUUACACAUCAUAUCAAUUCAGAUUACAUAAUCUAACUAAUAAAAAGCCUACACCCAGAAACGAAAAGAUAGCAAAUUUCUAUCAACCACCAAAUCCGUAGAGAGUACGACCUUGGCGCUUCAAAGCAUAAACGACAUCCAUGGCAGUAACAGUUUUCCGGCGAGCAUGCUCGGUAUAUGUGACGGCGUCACGGAUGACGUUCUCAAGAAAGAUCUUCAAAACUCCACGGGUCUCCUCGUAGAUUAACCCACUGAUACGCUUAACACCUCCUCGUCUGGCCAGACGGCGGAUCGCCGGCUUGGUGAUACCUUGGAUGUUGUCCCGGAGAACCUUACGAUGUCGUUUGGCUCCUCCCUUUCCCAAUCCCUUGCCUCCUUUUCCUCUCCCUGACAUUUUUUUUCUCUCGCUUUCUCUCUCUAGAAAUGAGUUCGAUUUUCGCUUGUGUUUGAAACCGGCGUGAGGGUUUCUACUUAAAGGUGGAAUAUGAUCGUAUGUUUGUAUACAUCCGUUGGAUGAGAUGAAAUAAGGGCCAUAUGAGCCGUACGAUUGCAAUCCGUGUGAUGAGCUAUUAGAGCUGUUGAUUGGUUCGUUUGACAUGUGCUGGAUCUAGGUGAGGGUAACUCGGGUCAUCCAUUGUGCAACGUGCUAAAUAAGUGGGUAAGAGUAAUUAAUAUUUUUUUAAAGUGUAUUUAAAUUGAAUAAUCGAUUAAGGUGUUGUAUCAUUUUAUUUAUUGGAUUUAACGAGGAAAUAAUUAGUUUGUGUAGACAUAUAAUGGUGUUUUUUUAUUUAAUAUGUAAACGUAAGCUUAAUUGAUUUAUUAUGUUAUGUAGUAUUUUAUUAUUUCACGUAAAAUGUUUAAAACACUUUUUCGAACUAUCCGGGUGUAAUAUAUAAAUUUAAAACUAAAAUUAGAAUAUAUAAAAAAAAUUAACAAACAUAAAUUAAAAAUAUAGCAAGGAGUUCAAAUGGACAAAAAUUACAUGUGAAUAUUUAGAAUCGGAUUUUGUAAUCUUUCUAUUGUCAAACCAACCAAACAAAAAUAUUAGGUGCUUCUCACGAAGGAAAUCGUUUGGUAAAUAACAUUAUUUCGGUAGCUCUAUAUCACUCAUGGAGUAAUAGGAAUGCCCACUAUCUUAUUAAACAUUUUAUAUAUGUCUUUAAAUUUAAGAAGUACAACACUUAUUGCCUCAUGUACAAGUAAUUAUCUGACACACCUACUAACACAUCCGUUUUGAUAAUUAAUAUGGGAAUUAAACACUAUUUCAUUUCUCUAUUUUUCCCCGACUCACAAUUAUUCACCAAAACCCUAAAUCAAUCGUCUUCGCUAAAAACAUACCAUCGUUCCAGCAACAUCUCUUAUAUCACACAACUUUCUUCAAUCUCUAGUAUCCAUCUGUUACUACCACCCUCUAGACGUCGCGGUUACCACCAUUGGGGUCCGCAACCCCCCAUGUCGUCGUGCUUCUACCUUAUGUUGAGACGAGAAACACUACCCUUAUAUUGUUGUCACCGUCAAACACCAUCACCACCAUACAUCACACACCAUAAACCAGAAAAGCCCCCAUUACGAAUUAAUUCUCACUCCCCCUUUGUCUCAUACCACUAUCACACCAGCAACGCACCGCCACCCAUUUUCCACCAUUGCACCACCAACAGUCAUUUAUCGACGUCUUUAUGCAAUAUAUGUCGUUACAUUACUUAUCCGUCGACAAACGACCACACAGACGGUCCCUUUUUUUAUUCAAAAUCUUGAAGAUCUUGGUUUGGAUUCUAAAUUGAUGAGACUUUUUUGCAGACAAAAAUGCCCCUACGAACUAUUAUGGUUAAGUACUAUUAUAAAAAUCUCGACUAGGUCCCGAUUAAUCUCCGAUUAAUCCCUAGGCGUUACUCAGUCGAUUAGAGGGCGCCUAUCGAUUAAUCACUGCAUACAUAAUGAGUGAAAACAUUAUAAAAUGAUACAAUUUUAACAUUUUGAAGAAAUUUUAUUCCAAUGGAAACUAUUUGAGGCAUGAUUAGUGUUGUAUUAAUCAUAUUAUCCUAUUUUGUUAUCAUAUUAGUGAUAUUUACAAACUUUGAUAUGAUAUUAGUCAUAUUUUUUUUCUAAAAUUCAACAAAUUAGCAAUUAAUGGUACCCGAUUAAUCUACGCCUAGCCGAUUAAUCCAUUGACCCCAGUCCACCGACUAGCUAACGUCGAACGAUUUUUACAACUUUAAUAACCAUUAACCGACUGAAAUCAUUAUCCAAAACCAAUAUCAACCGCUACCCAAUGGCUAUUGAAAUACAUUAACCAAUUGUAAUGGUUAUGGUUCGGUUUUGAACAAUAAACAAACCAACCGCCUCAUACACACCCCUAAUAAAUAAGGUAGGGUUGGAGAGAAAUAGGGAAAGAAAAUGGAUGAAAAAUGGAAAAUUGAAGUGGAUUGAAAAUGCUCUUAAGCUGUUUUCGCAUAUAAGAAGUUAUUACUUAGAGGGUGUUUGGUUUUUUUUAAACAGUUUAUUGAUUUAUUGGUUAUUUAAAAAACCAUUAAGCUUAAAAAAUUAUUGAAUAUUGCAUAAUUGCUUUUUAAACUGAAAAUGACAAUACUAUACGUAAUAAACUCUUUUUUUUCUUUAUUUCUCUUUGCAUGUUUUUUUAGUUAUUUUACAAUUAUAGAAGACUUCAUUUAUCUAUAUCCCUUUCUUGCUUAUCCCUACUAUUUAAUCAUUAUUCUAAUUAAUUAGCUUAUGAUUGCACUUAUAAUUACUAGUAUGUAAUGAUUAAUACUUUUUUAUAUUUAAUUACUAAAAUAUCUUUUAUAUUUUAAAAUUUAUACAUAAAACAUAUUUUAUAUUUUAUUUAGUUUAUUUACCAGUAAUACAUAAAUAUUAAUAAUAAUCAUGAUAUCGUAUCUAUAAAUCAUAAAUAUUAAUAGUAAUCAUCAUUUAUGUGAUUUAUUUUAUGUUGGUGUAUUAAAAAUCUUCAAAUAUCAAUGUAUAUAUGAAUUAAAAUAAAUAUAAUAUUAGAAGGUGUAAAUGUAAUAUUAUCAGUAUUGAUAGAGUGUAAUGUAAAAUAGAGGAUAUGAAAUUGGUUAUGUUAUAAACCUUAGUUGCUACUCCUUCUUUUCUCUCAUCCUCCGAUCCCUUUUUUUUCUUAUCCUCAAACUGGUGUGUGUUGCUCGCCAAUGAUGGCAGGAAAACCAGCAACAGCCGAAGUUGUUGUUGGUCGUGUGCGGCGGCGGUGAAGCCCGAUGGAUGAUUCAAAAUGGUGCACAGGCAGAUCCGACAGUGAUUCACGAUAUUCUUUCUCUUUCGCUCGAUCUGAAUGUUGGUUGGUGGUCGGGAUUCUGACGGUAGCCGUAAUUGCUCUUAUUAUGUCUAUUUUUCGAUCUUAACGGCGGUAGCGUUACCGGCGUUGGUGAGUGGCGGGUGAAUGUCGUCGGCGUUAGUUUAUUGUUUAAAAGACUAUUUUGUAUAUUGUUAACUGGUUUUUAUUUUGAUGGUUUAUGCCCGAAUUAAGUGACGCGCAUUUUUCAAUAUACAAUGUACUGGACAGAAUCUGAUGACAUGCAUGAUAUAUUUUCAAUGUCUUGGAAGUUGUAACAAUUUAUAUUUAUUGGUCGAACAUAUUAAAAAACACAGUUAAUGAAGAAUUUGAAAUCUUUUCAUCAGAAAAGUAAUAACGAAAAGGAUAGGUUUAAAAUUUCAAGGGUAGGGAUAACUUACCCUUAUAAAAAAUUUUCUUCCAUCCUCUCUUUCCAUGUAUUUUUUUAGUUAUUUUACAAUUAUAAAAAGUUGUCACCAUAAAAGUUGAUCUUAACAUUUUUUUAAAAACACAUUUUAUCAUCACCAUAAAUCAAUAAUCAGUUUUGUUCAAAAACACUGAAGUUUAAAAAACAAUCCCAAACAGCUAUUUAGCUUUUAACAAUAACAUGUCUUUUUUUUACAAGGAUUAACAGAGUCAUUAUUGCAUCCCGUGUUCAAUUAUUGAUUUGAUCCUUCCUUUUAAGACAAAAUAUACAAUCUUGUGGUAUUUAACUCGAUUGCAAAAAAUAACAUAUCAAAAACACAUCAACGAAUUCGAGAACGAUUACACAAACUGCAACACAGAGUUUCAUUGAUCAGGUUACAGAUCCAGAAAAGUCAAACAUACAAAUUACUAAAUUCUAAGUCCAGAUUUGUUUUUAAAAAAAUGAGUGAUACGUUAUUUGCAAUGACUACAUCAAAGGGAAAAUACAUGAUCAGUGAAAGCUAUGUAGACCUCUCAACAAUUCAAUAUCUAAAUCAAUUGACCAAGUAUCAUCCUACUGCUUUUAGAACCCUAGAAAUGAUAAUACGUUGCUUGAUCUGCAAGCAAUAUUGCAUACUCUGAUAGAAUAAUUACACUAUUUUCCAGAUGCAAAUGCCCUAAAAAGCAUUCAAAUUCAAGGACAAAACUAAAUUCCAUGUGCUAGAUAUAGAUAAAUCAUUCGAGAAAGAAGAAAUUUAAACCAUAAAUUGACUUGCUAUCUGAUAUUAUAUUAAGAACUUCAAUUACAAGUAAUAUCACUUCGAAUUAAACUCUGGUGUCAAACAAGAACCCUAGAAACCCUAAACUUCUAUUAACCACCAAAUCCGUAGAGAGUACGGCCUUGGCGCUUCAAAGCAUAUACGACAUCCAUGGCGGUGACAGUUUUCCGGCGAGCAUGUUCGGUGUAUGUGACGGCGUCACGGAUGACGUUCUCAAGAAAGAUCUUCAAAACUCCACGGGUCUCCUCGUAGAUUAAGCCACUGAUACGCUUGACACCUCCUCGUCUGGCCAGACGGCGGAUCGCCGGCUUGGUGAUACCUUGGAUGUUGUCCCGGAGAACCUUACGAUGUCGUUUAGCUCCUCCCUUUCCCAAUCCCUUGCCUCCCUUUCCUCUUCCUGACAUUUUUUUAUUUUUUUUUUCUCUAAAAAUGAAAUUGAAUUCCGAUUGUGAUUGUGAUUGAAAUGUCGUAGAUUUGGUAGGGCUUUUGUAAGUAAAGGUGGGAAGGGUAUAUGUUUUUGUGGCCGUUGGAUCCAAUAAUAUACAAGGGAUUGUUGGCCGUACGAUUGUAAUCCGUGUGAUCAGCAACAAAACGUUUUGGUUGGUUCGUUUUACUAUUGCUUGAUCUAGGUAAAGAUUAUGUCCCGGAUAAAUUGAAGAGAUUUUUUUCACCAAUUAACUUCAUAAAAGGAUAAUUGACACAAAAAACAUUUUUUUUACAUAAAAAUUUGAUUUUGAUAUUAUGUUUUUUUUUGUGUCAAAUUUGACACCGUGUUUUCUAAUUUGUUACAAUUCUGACCACUUGACCGGUUAACUAGGUUACAUGCAGACGUGACAUGAUAACGUGUAAGUUUGAUGACGUGGCAUGUUGACAUGAUAUGCUGACAUGUCAAAAUUAAUUUUUUUUCUCACAAAAAACACUAAGUUUUUAUUUUUUUCGAUUUUGACACUAAGUUUAAUUUUUUAUUUCAACUUUGACACUAUGUUUUUUGUUCCAAAAUGAACAUUUUUUUUCCAAUUUUGUUCAGUGUUGACAAUUUUCUAUUUGAAAUCGUAUAAAUAUUUUUUAAUAAUUUAAACCGUAUAAAUAUGUUUUUUUUAUUUAAAAACCAUAGUUUUGUAUAAAUACAUUUUUUUUUUACAUUCAAACUAUAUUUUUAUGUAUAAAUAUGUAUUAGUUAUAUAAAAAUUAUAUUUUAUAUUAAAUAUGCAACUUUAAAAUGUGUUUGGAGGUUUGGAGACAUGUAGUCGAUCAAAACUCGGAUAUCAAGUUUGCAACCCAUCAAAUUUUUACAUCUUAUUAAAAGUUUAUGGUUAGUUUGAUUCUCAUGAUAUAACUUUUUUUGAAUGUAAGAAAAAAACACAUUGUAUUUAAAUAAAAACGUGGUUUUUAAACGAAAAAAAAUAUGUUUAUACGGUUUAAAAUGUAAUAAAAAAAUAUAUUUACACGGUUUCAAAUGGAAAAUAAACAAAAUUGAACAAAAAUUAAUAAGUGAUGUUCGAUUGGAACAAAAAAAACAUAGUGUCAAAAUUGAAAUAAAAAAUUAAACUUAGUGUCAAAAUCGAAAAAAAUUGAAAACUUAGUGUUUUUUGUGGGAAAAAAAUCAAUUUUGACACGUCAGCAUAUCAUGUCAACAUGCCACAUCAUCAAAACUGACACAUCAUCAUGCCACGUCAGCAUGUAACCUGGUUAACCGGUCAAAUGGUCAGAAUUGUAACAAAUUAGAAAACACAGUGUCAAAAUUGACACAAAAAAAACACGGUGUCAAAAUCGAAUUUCUAUGUAAAAAAAAUGUUUUUUGUGCCAUUUACCCUUCAUAAAAUCAUAGCUUUACUUUUUUAAUAAAAAUUGAUAAAAGAAACAUGAUAAUUGUUUAUAUAAAAAUAUAAUAAACCUGAAAUCCUUAGAUUUUAGUACUUUUGGUUUUUAACCGGUCCUAAUAAAAAAAUGUAUAUCUAUUGGAUUUUAUUUUUGAUGUAUUAACGAUAAAUGUAUAAUGUUUUAUCGUAUAAUUUUAUUGUAUUUUCCUUGUUUGACGGAUAAAAUGUAUGAGGCAGUUUGGUUCGGUUAUUGGUUAAAACUGAAACAUAACCAUUACAAUUGGUUAUUGUAUUUCGAUAACCAUUGGCAGUGGUUAAUAUUGGUUUUGGUUAGGGUUUUAGCCGGUUCGGUUUAUGAGGUUCAAUUUUAGAUGAAAACCAUAAUUGAACCAUAUGUAUUCGGUUAAUUAAAAUUAAAAACCGCACCAUAUCUUUUACUAAUGGUUUUGUUAAAAUGAUUUGGUUAUAUCGGUUAAUUUUGUUAUGGUUCUGUUUUUUGGUUAACGUGUUCACCCCUAGAUUUUAUGACAGAUAGUGUAAUUUUAUUGUUAUGUUAGUGUAAUUAAAAUUUUGAUCAUAAAAUAACAAUUUACAUAUUCGGAUUGAGGAUGUCAUUUGAGUCACAUACAUAAAGGUGUCAGUUCUGUGAAAAAUAUGAUUGGGCAUUGGCUUUUUUUUAAGAAAGCUAUAUCAAACUAUGGGUAAGCAUAGGCGGGUACCUGACUAAAUUUAGUGGAACCAGAACCGCCGGUUCAUAAAAUGUUAGAACUAAAACCAGAAUCGGUUACAUCAGUUCCUACAAUUUUAGAACCGCUCCCAUAACCACCGGAACCGGUUCCGAUUCCGGGUACCCGCUUGCUAAAAACUUUUAAACUGUUUUAAGCCAAAGGUAAUGGGAUUCUUAACAUAUGCCCAUAUUUUGAGACCUCACACUCAUUGUUUUGAAAUUUUUAAAACUUUUUAUGUUCACAGCAAGCUCAAAUACUCCAACCCGUUUAAAGUUUGCAAUUCAAGCCUUAUUGUUGUAGUGGGAAAUCAAUAGGGCGCCUUUUCCUUUAUAAGUUAAACAACAUUCAAGCAUUGUUGCAUCAAGCGAUAUGGGAUAUUAUAUCCUACACUUUCAGUUCUCGACUACUCCCUUUACUUUCCUAUAUUUAUGUUAUCUAAUAUUCACAAUUUCUGUUGCAUUGUUCCAUUGCUACUUUAAAGAAUUAAAACCAAGACAACUUCAUAUCUAAGUUUAAAAAAAAUGUGAGCGUCAUUAUCAUUCAAAUCGGGUAUCACAAAAAUGUAAUGCAAUAUUACGAUAAAGGCCAGUGUAGCUGAACAACUUUGGUGUUGGUUGGGACUGAACUGAAGCCUGAACCAGCUCCCUCGUCUAGGUAUCUAUCUCAAUCUCUCGCCUCCUCGCAGCAUCUUGAAGCUCAGCGAGGGUACUACAUCGAUGGGUAGACAUAAACUGACAAAUAUUCGUCUUGAGCAUGCUUAAGUACUGAGUCAUCUAAACAUGCUCUGAAACAACAAACUCAGGACAUAAAAAAGCCCUCUCAGUGAAUAUCUUGGUGAUCUUUGUCACUAACUCGGUCUUCUAUCUUGGUAUAGCGCCGGUCAAACUCCUCACUCAAUGUGAUCUUGACCAACCCAAAUAGCUAUGGAAUCACCUCCCUGAUCGCCUCUACCAACUCGGCAACAAUGAUCAUGCGGAUCUCCUCCUCAUGCAUACCUGCUCUCCUAGUGCCACCAACACCUGAUCCUAAACCUCCAAAAGCCUCCAUACUAAGAAUAUACCAAGGAAAUAUCAGACAUCAAAACAUGGUGAUCAACACACCAGGCCACACUCCUAUUAGUUCCUUAGUAAUCUCGAUGUUCCUCCUGAAUCUCAUACGGGUCAUGUGCUUUUAGUAGUAUGAGCCCAUACUACCUUCCACACCUUUCCGUAGUCGAUUCAUAAUUCAUCUCAAGGUCAUAAGUUAGUGCACUAGACCACUCCUAGGUGUGUUAACACACGCUUCUCCUAAAAUUUAUAAAUAACUUCCUAGGCACUCUUCCUAGUAUUAUCCUUGCUCUAGCACCACCGGUUACUUUUGUGCAUUAUUGUUGAACAUAAUACGAGAUCAAACAGACUGUUGAAUAAUCGACUCAACUCUAAGUCCACAACCAAACAACGAACAUGAAGUAAGGCUAAGUCGAUCAUUCUAAGGCUGUUCAAUCCCAACCAUAUACAACUAAUCAACAUACACGCAACAAUCACAAAUCAAGUAAUAUAUAUCUGGCAACCAACUCCCUAUAUCGUAAGGCAUCACAGAAAUCAGACAAUUCUAUGCAACAGUUCCCAAAAGAACCUUAGCUUAUCCACUAGCAUGCUUUCCUAACNAAACUCCCUAUAUCAUAAAGCAUCACAUAAAUCAGGCAUUUCUAUCCAACAAUUAUUAAAUAAACCUUACCUUAUCCAGUAACAUGCUUUCCUAAUAGUUCACAUAUCAAAAACAUAAAAACUCAGUACAUAUAACAAGUAUGGGUAUUUUGGUAACCGCUCUCUUGUUCGUGCUCUAGUUGACUGUAUACACCACAUCUUCCUAUAAAACCAAAGUUAAGUCAAUGUCCAUGUUCCUGAUCCCAAACCAACAAUCAAAAAAUAACAUGACAAGAGGCCAAGUCCAUGUCGCUAACCCAACACUUUUAUUAUAAAUUUGUUUUCAAAGCAUUUUAUGAAAAAUCUCGUAUCCUAGUUUGAGAUUGGAUUCACACAAGUGUUCCUCCAAUUCGCUCAAACCAGGGCUCUGAUACCAACUUGUAACGUCCCAUUUUCUAUACCAUUUUUUCAUUCUAUUUAAAGUAAAAUUCCCAAUUAUAAAACCAUUUUAAGAAAACCAUCUGUUCCCAAUUAUAAUUAUUAAAAAUCAGAGUAUUAUAAUGAAUGCAAAAUCCUCAACGUUGCCGAUGAGUGUGUACAAUAUCACCUUCGCCUUCUCAUAGCCACCGAUGAUACAUGAAACAAUAAACAACUAGUUAAGCAUAAAGCUUAGUGAUUUUCCCACAAAAUACCACAUACGAUUAACAUAAAAGCAUGCAUAACGGCCCAUAACCCCCGGUUUGAAUGCCCAAUCCCAAUCAGUCCUUAGAGUGGAAUGCCAACAUGCAACGAGUCCAAUCAGCUAUCGGGCAGGAAUACCCAGGUUUUGUUGGCCUACAGCCUCAACGCAACCGUUCUUCCCGAUCCCCAGUGCCUACGACUUACAGUUGGCCCACAACGGGUAUAUUAGCCUACAACACAAAGCAGGACCGCCUCAACGCACUACUACCGUAUGUCGACAAAUAAAUAAUUAGGAUCAAGUAGGCACAUAAUAUAGGCAAACAAAAUGUCACACCCCCAAACCGGAACGGUGGAAACGUUUGGGGGUUGUUAACGUCAUGCGUGGUAUCAUAACAGUUGUAUCACAGCAAGCACAGUAAACACAACCAAACAUUGAAUACAUAUAUGAAAAGGGUUUACACUGUCUUCAUACAAAGAUUUGUUCUUAUCGAAAGUAAAAUAGAAAGACGUGACACUAACGCGCCGACUUCUCCAAAACUUCUGGAAGUACCUGUCUACUAAUUCUAUGAGAAUACAAGCAAUUUUGAAAGAAUAUCAGCAUAAAGCUGAUGAGUUCAUAAGCAUUUAGUUUUGGUGGGAAAAUGUUUCUUUGAUCUUUUUGAAAAGUGUUACUCAAGAAAAUCCUAUAUUUUCUUAUGAAAAACGUGUUUGAAAGCCCAUUCCUUCCAUGACUUCCAGAUUCAUACAAGGUAUGUACAAUCCAAGGGUCGUGGAAUGAAUAUGAAUAUUCGUUAGUUGCAUGUUAAACAAUUUGUUUAUGGAAAGCCGAGUUAUCCCGAGAAAAUCCUAUAUUUUCCCUAAAAGUUGAUGGUUGGUUAUCCGUUCUAAACUGAGGUGUACAAGUAUCUACCAUACUUAUAUCGAUAAACGUAGUUUUCAUUUAAAACCCCUGGUUACUCCCAGUGAGGUAUAUUAGCCCUAUUACGUAAAUAAAACUAAUAAAAGAGAACGUGAUGAACUAAAUCCUGAAGGUACUAUUAAUACCCACCAGUAAUCAAAUCGAUUAUAACUAUGAGGUUAGUUCACUUGAUUCAUUAUUACAAAAGUAAAUCUCUGCUAUCUAGGUUGUGAGUUUUAUAACCAUAACUGACUGGAUAUGGCCCGCAACGGACGGUAUCCUUUAUGACUUUGUCACCCGUAGACCUGUCAGUCCGACUGUAGCUAGCAGCCAGGUGCGGGGUUGUCAUUCCCGUAUAGAUCUAUACAUAACUCUCACGCUCUCCUUACAAGAGAUUAUGGUCACAAGUGCUAGUCCUACACUUUGAUUCUUGUGGUGAGUGUUACUAAGGACGUGUCUCCAACUUAGACUAAAAAAUUUACAAGUAAUAACAUAGAAAAUCCUUUUGUGAUUAACGUGAAUCAUUUAUAAAAUGAUACAUUUUGCUACAUGAUUCAUAAGUUCAUUGCUCUAGUUUUGAAAACUAUUUCUACGAGUUAAUUUGUUAAUCAUUUGGUAAAUUGUUUUCCGUGUUAAAAGCAUUCUGAAAAUAUAAUUAUCUUAAACAAAAUAAUAUACUUUGAGCACAAGUUUCCUUGUACUUUUGCUUAUACCCCCCAUGAAAACAUGAAAAACUCGGAAAAGCGUAGGGGUAUGAACUUACAUCGGGCGAUUUGAAUGAAAGAUCGAUACGGAAUGUCGGAUGUUCAAGUGAAUCCUUGAACGCGAUUUGAUCCUAAUUAACAUGUAAUGACACAUAAAGGAGUCAAAUGAAGAUAUUUCUCUACUAAAUGUGAUGGAGAACCACUCUAAGAACUUGGGACUACCUACACUAAGUGCUAGAACCUUAAAGGAUUGCAUAAGGGAGGUGUAUGGCCACCUUAAAGGUGUGUACGACCAUAAGUGUGCGGCCCAAUGGGUGUGCGGUCGUACACUUCUGAUGGAAGGUGCUUUUGAGGUGUUUUCAAGGUCCAUACUUCCAUCCAUGAAGUGUUAUAGGUCCAUACUAAGUUGUAGUACAAGUUUAGGGUCUUAGAAAUGAGUUUGUGGUCCUAGGGUGUGUGUGUUGUCGUACACGGGAGUGUGCUGCCGCACACAAGGAGUGUGAUACCGCACAAGGGUGUGUGUGAUCGUACACAGGUGUGUGUGGUCGUACACCCUACAUGAUGAUGUCCAAUAAUGCUAAUUCUAAGGUGUAGCAAAGCUAGGUUCAUGUCCAACUCGAAUAUAGAAGUCUAACUCUCACUUUGGAGGGUCUUUUAGGUGUGUGAGGCCACCUUAUGUGGGUGUGAGGCUACACUCCUUCAAAUAGAUGAUGAACAUGACGGGUCUCAAUGUUUCAAGGCUUAGAUUAAGUGGUUCUUCAAGCACAACAAGCUAAGGGAUGGAUUACUCGUGUUUUUGAAGCCUUGGGAGGGUUUGUGGUUGAAGAAGCUUGAGAGAAAUGGUGUUGUGUGCUACCAAGGUUUUAAAUGAAUGAAAGGAAAGGGUUCUACCCUUUAUAUAGGGUGGGUGUGUGGCCAUGAGGGGUGUGUACGGCCGUACACCCAUGUGUGCGGCCGUACACUCCUCCAAAAGGGGUGUAUGGCCCGAUUUCGUCACUAUAUGACUUGCUGAUUCGUUCCUAAUCUCGACAUUGGUUGUACUAAGGUUUAGAAAGCUUAAAUGAACUCUUAAUCAGUGUUAGGUGUUAAAAGAAACGAGUUUAACUUAUAUUAACCGACUAGAUGUACCAGGUAGAAGUUUCGGGUUGUCACAUCAUCCCCCCGUUAGAGAGAAUUUCAUCCCGAAAUUCAAGAAUAAAGAUGUCACUCCUGGACUUGGAAAUGUUAGGGGUACUUCUGUUUCCUUGGAUUCUCGUCCUCCCAAGUGAAAUCAGGUUCCCGCUUGGCAUUCCAGCGGACCUUCACUAUCAGGACGUGACGUUAUUUCACUCGCUUGACUUCUCAAUUCGUGUGUCCAAUGAAACGUAGACUCUUGUCUAGCUCGAUACCGUCAAGUGAAAAUCGCAAGUGUUUCAUCGGACAGACACUUCUUUGGUCCGACAUGAGGAAGACGGGAUGAACACUGCUAAGCGCUCGAGGUAACUGGAGUUUGUAUACUACGGGACCGAUCCUAGAAAGCAUCUCAGACGGUCCAACGUACUCUUGGAUUUAGCUUGCUACGAUUUUCGGAGUGUAUCAGGCUUUUCUAGGGUGAGACUUUUAAAUGGACAGGGUCACCAACUUGGAAUUCCAAGGGUUUUUGUCUCUUAUCGGCGUAGCCCUUUCGUACGACCCCUUUUCAGUCGCCUUCGUAUGAUUUCAGAACUCGUGAGGGUACUGUCGUGGACUUGAGUCUUGACUAGUUGCGUGUCGCCCACCUCAACCCAGCACAUAGGGGAUCUAUACUUACGACCAUAGAGGGCUUCGAACGACGCAACCAUGAUGUUGGAAAGGUCGUCAUUGUUGCAAGAAAGUUCCAUUAAGGGUAGAUGAUUGUCCCACGACGUAUCUACAAUCAGGACCUCACCAUAGGACAAUAUCUUAAACCCUAAGUCCAUUAAGUCCUAAAUGUGACCAAAACUCAAACAUGAGGCUAAGAACACUCAAGCUAAGACCUUUUUCUCACUAGCUCAUAAAUUCAUGACCAAAUGGGAACCAUAUCAAACUCUGGAGUUCCUCAUACUUCAAGAGCACUCAAGAAUGGGACGAAAUCAUCAAAAAAUGGGCUUAAACAUCAAACAAGAAACACAAAGGUCAAGAUAUGAACUUUAUACAUCCAAUAACUCAUAAAUGUGAAGAAGAUCUUGGAUCCAAGCUUGAUCCUUGCUUCCUUGCACCAAAAUGAACCACCUUCUUCUUCAAGUUUUACCAAAUGAUGGAAAAAACCUCAAGAUGUAGCCACCAAGCUCAUUUCCAUGGAAGAGAGGCUAGGGUUUCGAGAUGAAGGAAUGGAGGCUGAAGAAGAUGACCUAAAAUGGGGGUUAAGAUGCUUAAAGAUGGAUGAAACCCUAAUAUACUUGGGCUUGGGCCUGAACAGGCGACACACCAUGGCCAUCCAUUGCCACGCCGCGGUGACCCUCAAAAAACGCGUUCAAUAAUAUCACAUGUCGUGGGCAUCCAAGCCCCACAUCGUGGCUGAGGGUCUACUCCAAAAAUCCUAAUUUGAUUCCUCAAGUCUUGCCACACAUUCUUUGGAAAACGGGAUGUUACAUGCGAUAUAAGCUAAAUAGAGAUUAUGAACACGGUGUAGGUAUUCAGGGAGCUGGACAACCAUUCGACAACUUUAGUGGAUUUAUUUUGUUCCAUGCUAUUUCAGGUGAGUUCUUAUGAACUUACUUAUCAUUCGGACUAUGUGAUAUUGUAUGUGAGUUCUCAUGAACGUACUUAUUAUAUGGACUAUGUGAUGUUAUAUGUAACAUCUCAAAAAUCAUAAAAAAAAAAUUAAAAAACAACCCAUUUCAACCAUAAAGUGUUUACAAAACCAUUGUUUUAAAAGUAUAAACAUCAUCAGAGUUUUUCCCAAGACCCAAUAUCAUAAAAAUAGGAAGAUGUGAAUGAUCAUGCCUUUGCUUUCCCGCGAUCAUCAGAAGUACCUGAAACAAUGAACUAAAACUAUAAGCCAUAGCUUAGCGAGUUCCCCCAAAGUACCAUCACGCAACACAUAACAAAUACAUAUCAACAUGCUGGGUCUACAGCCUCCUGGUCGGAUUACCCCGACCCAUAACCUCCUGGUUGGAUUACCCUACAUAUCACGUACUGGGUCCACAACCUUGAGGUUGGAUUACACUAGCCGACAACCUCCCGGUUGGAAUAGCCUGGCCCAUAACCUCCUGGUUGGAUUGCCCCGGUCUGUUAAUUGACAACACAAAACAGUAGUUUCAACCACAACAUAACAUGUCGACAUAUAACAAAUAACAAACAUAUUGAGCAGGCAAAUAACCAUACAACCAGUGUUCAUAACAGUCCUACAAAUCUACCAAUAAAAUGCCUAUCAGCAGCUAUCACAUAAUCAUAUAGGUUUAUCGCAUACUCCACAUAUAAUCAAUCAAUAUAUAACAGGAUAUCAAUAAAAUGGGUCAGCCUUGAUCCCUUCAACCCGCAAGUACAGUGAGGAAAACUUAUCUCACAGUCUGAAAAAGAUCAUUGAACAGGACACAACUCUGAAUAUCAGCUCAAACAGUAACAUAUUCAUCAGAUAAUGACCAUUGUCAAUAACCACUCAAAAUACCCCAAAAUACCCUUUGGUCAACUUGGUCAACAUUGGUCAAAGUCAAAAAGUUAAAUUAGGUUAAUACAACUUGAAACACUCUAAAUUUUCAGAGCAAAUUUUCAUUUAAAAAAUUUCACACAAAACAUAGUUUAACAUUUCUCAUGCCAAAUUUGAAAUUUUCCCAAACACAAAACAUCAUAAAUUGUUUGUCAAAUAUCCCAGAAUCCACAUAAACACAAAUCAUCAAGCUGGUGUGUACAAUCAUGUCGGCGCCUUCCCGCUAUCCUCAGAUGUACCUGAAACACAUUUUACACAAACACGGUAAGCACUAAGCUUAGUGGGUUCCCCAAAAUACCACAUACACAAAUAAUUAACUUCUUAGGGCUAUGUCUCGAUAAGGACCCUCCGGUUAUAAGUCUCGGUGAGGACCCUUUGGUCUCACGUCUUGGUAUGGACCCUCCGAUCAUAUGUCUCAAUGAAGACCCUCCAGUCUCACGACUCGGUAUGGACCCUCCGGUCAUAACUCAAAAUAUGCACAUGAUAAUGUAACAACACAAAUCACAAAGACAUAAUUCACAAUAACACAUAUCUCAGUAUAAGCAAAUAGGACCCUUUGGUUAAUAACACGAAUAAGACCCUUCGGUUACACAUAGAUUACCACACAGGUAAGUAUAGUGAGAAGACUUGCUUCGCAAGUAAAGCAAGUAAAUCCUUCACCCAAACUGUUGGUCUAGUCUCUGCCUAACAUAUGUCACAUAUACCUCUAAUUAAUAAUUGACAUGAACAACCCUUAAAAUGUUAGACCAAGUUCCUCUACUAAACCUCGGGAAGGUAAAAGACCAUUUUGCCCCUCAAAAGUCCACAUCUUGACCAAAACCCCAAAAGUAAAAGAAAGUCAACGCUCAGCGCGUACACUUGGCGUACAUCCGUCUAAGUUGGGCGUACAACUAUUUUGGAUAUUCAGAUUUUUGGAUUGAUUUUAAGUUAAACCGAAUUAUUUUUAGAUUUCGGAUUGGUUUUGGUUUAUAAAAUAAUAACCGAAUAGUCCAUAAAAACUGAAUAACAACUUAUUAUUUAUUUUUAAUAUCUAUAUUUAAUCAUUUAAAAAUUUAUAAAAUUAUACUUUUAAUUAUUAUAAAUUUUCAACCAGUAUAGUACCUUACUAUGUCAUUCUUAUCAAAAGUUUUUUAUCAACGAAAUGUCUUAAUAGUUGUUUAUAAAUUAUAUUUCAUAACUAAAAAGUUUUAUUUAGUUACUUUUAAAGAGUUGACUAAUACUUAAUUUAUUCAUUAUUAAAAUGUAUUGCCUUUUAAAAACCGCAUUGUAAAAACCGAUCUAACCGAACUAUUAUUUGGUUGGAUCGGAUGAGAUUUGAAUUUAGUUUGAACUAUUCGGAUCCGUGUUUUCAAAACUGAAAUCCAUUUAGAUUUAGGGGAUGUUUGGAUAGGGAAAAAAUAGGCCGUUUAUUAGUUAUUGCUUAAUCCCACCGCAAUAAGCAAAUUUAAUUGUUUGGAUAGGAGUCUAUAAAAAUCAGCUUAUUGCGGUAGGAAUAAGCAAACUAAGCUGAUUUUAAUAAGCAAGAAGGUGAAUGCUUAUUGCUUAUUGCUUGUUUUACUCAAAGCUGUUUUGUUUGCCAAACACUUAAAAUGUUUAUUGCUUAUUGCUUAUUCCCACCGCAAUAAGUAAAUAAACAAUAAGCUAAUAACUAAUUAUCCUAGCACCCCCUUACUUGAUCGUAUCGGAUCAAACCGAUCCAUCCAAACGAACACUCCUAGAUAUAAUAAUUUUCUCCAUAAAACUAUAUAUAUAUAUANNNNNNNNNNNNNNNAUAUUAUGGAGGGAAAAUGACUUCUAAGGGUAACGAAGUAUUAGACUUGUACAAAAAAUACCAUUGAACUUUUUCUCUGUACACAUAUCACCAAUCAACUAUAGCUUCUGUACACAUAUGACUAUUAAACUUCACAUUUGUUCAAAAAAUACCAUUAUGUUACCGGUAAUAGUAGGUUACCAGCCAUGUAACAUGCCGUGUGGCUGCUGACGUAGGUUUUAUUAUAUAUUAUGUACACAUUAUACCAUUAAACUAUUUUUUGUACACAUUAUACCAUUAAACUUUUUUUUGUGUACAUUUUACCGUUAAACUUUUUGUACACAUUUUACCAUUAAUCUUAUAUAAUUUAUUCAAAAAAUAUCAAUUCAAAAAAUACAUAUUUUUACAUAAAAUGGGUUUUCCAUCACCUAUUGUGACUCCCUGAUUUUGUAAGGUUCGGGGGAAACCGUUUGUUUUUUACAAUGAUACUAAGGACUUUUUUUUACAAUUACAUUGUAAUUUAUGUUGGUCAUACAUCAAUUGAAACCCACAAGGUUUGAACUUGUGACUUUUAUCUGGAGCGGCAAAGAAAUACUCAAUUGUUCAUUAUUUUAGCUAAUGUCUAAUAAACAUAUUCUUAUAAGUCAUUUUCUUAGGAAACUACGUUUGAGGCAUACUUAUAAACUCAUGAAACAUUUUGUACAUGUUCCCUUACUAUAAUCUCCCAUCUUCUUGAUUAAGGUUGAUGAUUAAAAAAGUGCAUUAAAAUUAUGUGGUUGUUUACCGAUAGGAAAAUGACUUAUAAUGAUAAGUUACUAAAAUUUAGAAAAUCAGUAAAAUCCACAUCAGGUGAUGGGAAACCUACUUUUAUGUAAUAAUAUGUAUUUUUUGAAAUGAUAUUUUUUUCAAUAAAUUAUAUAACAUUAAUGGUAAAAUGUGUACAAAAAAAAGUUUAAUGGUAUAAUGUGUACAAAAAAAAGUUUAAUGGUAUAAUGUGUACAUAAUAAACAGUAAAAUCCACGUCAGCAGCCACAUGACAUGCCACGUAGCAUGCUACGUGGCUAAUGACCUAUUAUUACCUGUAAUAUAAUGGUAUUUUUUGAACAAAUGUGAAGUUUAAUGGUCAUAUAUGUACAAAAGUUAUAGUUGAUUGGUGAUCUGUGUACCAAAAAAAAUUCAAUGGUAUUUUUUGUAUAAAUCUCAUACUUUGUUAACCUUACAAGUCAUACAUUUUUCCCAUAUUAUGGAUGGUGUGCAGUGAGGCCACCACAGCAUGACCACCGAGAGCCUUGGGUGUUUGUUCAAAACAAAUUUCAUUUUGCUUUCUGCUAAAUUGAGGAAGGAGCUAGUUUUUUUGUUUCAUUUUGAUCCAUUAUUUUUCUUCGGUUUCUAGUACACUUAGAAAAAGGUAAACAAUAUUGGUUACUUUGGUUUCAAAAAAAGGGCUUUGAUGUGUUUAUCACUUUAUUUGAUAAUUUCUAGCAUCUUUUCGAAUAUAAUUUUCAUGUACUCAAAACCAAAAUUAAUGGCUAACGCUUCCGGAAAUCACAAGAAGUUAAUUUUCCACAGCAAUCUUGCAAACCUUGAAAACGAAUUACCAUAUCGAAUUUGUGCACAGAUGAGCAAAUCACUCAGUAAGUUCACAACAUUGUCUGAGUUUUCAAAUAAAAGCUAUAACCUGGAUUACAACUUCAAUGCAACUACAUGAAUUACAACACUCUUGUCAAAUAGUUCAACAGUUUUACCGAUGCACGUGUAAAAGCUCUGCUAAAUCGAAAUGUAAACAAACUGAAGAUUAAUUGUGGCUUAGCCCUAAAUCAAAUACAGAUUCCAGUCACUGAAUUAGAGGUAUCAAAGACAAAUGUCAUGUAUUGCAUAAGCAUAUAAUCAUACAGAAAAAAUGAAUUGGAAUAUUGGAUAAGUGAUAUUGUAUUAAUAGCUUCAAUUACAAGUAAUACCACUUCGGAUUACAGAUAAGCCAACAAAGCAACAAGAACCCUAGAAAGUAGAAACCGUAAAAUUCUCUUAACCACCAAAUCCGUAGAGAGUACGGCCUUGGCGCUUCAAAGCGUAAACAACAUCCAUGGCGGUGACAGUUUUCCGGCGAGCGUGUUCGGUGUAUGUGACGGCGUCACGGAUGACGUUCUCAAGAAAGAUCUUCAAAACACCACGGGUCUCCUCGUAUAUUAACCCACUGAUACGCUUGACACCUCCUCGUCUGGCUAGACGGCGGAUCGCCGGCUUGGUGAUACCUUGGAUGUUGUCCCGGAGAACCUUACGAUGACGUUUGGCUCCACCCUUUCCCAAUCCCUUGCCUCCUUUUCCUCUUCCUGACAUGUUUUCUCUCUACUUUUCUCUCGUUAGAAAUGAAUUUGAUUUUUGUUUGUGUUUGCGCUUAAAAUGGAUUUGAGGAUUUAUAGAAUAUUGGGGUUUGAGUUUGAAAGGAAGUAUGUAUUCGUCCGUUGGAUUAGAUUAAAUAGGAAGCAUAGAUAGCCGCAGGAUUAUAAUCUGUGUGAUGAUAAAUAAGACGCUUUGAUUGGUUAGCUUUAACAGUGUUGGAUCCAGGUUAGGGUAGUCCAGGUCAUAUGUGGAAUAGUAAAUUAAUUUAUAUGUUUAAUUUACAAAGAACAAUGAAUCAAUAUAUAGUCAUUUUUUUAAUUAUAUUUUUUAAAUAGUUAAAGAAUUUAAAAUUUUGUGUGUAUAUAUAUAUAUAUAUAUAUANNNNNNNNNNNNNNNNNNNNNNNNNNNNNNNNNNNNNNNNNNNNNNNNNNNNNNNNNNNNNNNNNNNNNNNNNNNNNNNNNNNNNNNNNNNNNNNNNNNNNNNNNNNNNNNNNNNNNNNNNNNNNNNNNNNNNNNNNNNNNNNNNNNNNNNNNNNNNNNNNNNNNNNNNNNNNNNNNNNNNNNNNNNNNNNNNNNNNNNNNNNNNNNNNNNNNNNNNNNNNNNNNNNNNNNNNNNNNNNNNNNNNNNNNNNNNNNNNNNNNNNNNNNNNNNNNNNNNNNNNNNNNNNNNNNNNNNNNNNNNNNNNNNNNNNNNNNNNNNNNNNNNNNNNNNNNNNNNNNNNNNNNNNNNNNNNNNNNNNNNNNNNNNNNNNNNNNNNNNNNNNNNNNNNNNNNNNNNNNNNNNNNNNNNNNNNNNNNNNNNNNNNNNNNNNNNNNNNNNNNNNNNNNNNNNNNNNNNNNNNNNNNNNNNNNNNNNNNNNNNNNNNNNNNNNNNNNNNNNNNNNNNNNNNNNNNNNNNNNNNNNNNNNNNNNNNNNNNNNNNNNNNNNNNNNNNNNNNNNNNNNNNNNNNNNNNNNNNNNNNNNNNNNNNNNNNNNNNNNNNNNNNNNNNNNNNNNNNNNNNNNNNNNNNNNNNNNNNNNNNNNNNNNNNNNNNNNNNNNNNNNNNNNNNNNNNNNNNNNNNNNNNNNNNNNNNNNNNNNNNNNNNNNNNNNNNNNNNNNNNNNNNNNNNNNNNNNNNNNNNNNNNNNNNNNNNNNNNNNNNNNNNNNNNNNNNNNNNNNNNNNNNUAUAUAUAUAUAUAUAUAAUUAACAUUAAAAAAAUGCAAAUACAAUAUUUAAUUAAAUUUUUUUCGUUUAUAAAUAUGAUUUUUCUGCUUGAAUACGUAUAAUAUGAAAAAAAAAUGGGGUAAAAGUGUUAAAAAAACUAUAAACUUAAGGGUAAAAACGUAUAAAAAAUUGUAAACUUAAGGGUUUUUUUUUGCAAAGUUAAUAUAAUGGUAACCUGUUAUCACCGGUAAAAAGGUAAAACCGUACAUUUUUUGGAAAAUGUUAUGGUAAAAACGGACAUAAAAUUUAACUUUGGGCAAAACCAAAAAAACCCUGAAAACUUGAGGGUUUUUAUGACAUUAACCCAAAAAACAUAAAUAAAUAUUGUAUUUUAAACAAGUUUCACGGUAAAAUCAAAGUUUAUUUUACAACAACAUAUGAGUCCUAAGUCAAAGUUCAUUUCAUGAAGGUUCACAAUAAAUUAAGAUAUUUCACAAUGGAUUUUACGAUAUGUCAUAUAGUUUAGGAUGGGGGAGUCGUGGUGCACUUCUUGAGAUCUAGUUCCAUUUGUCAUUGUUUUUUGUGUAAGGGCAUUAGGGCGCAGAGAUGGAGAGAGUGACAUUUUAGGAGGAGAGAUAGAGUAGAGAGACUGGGUAACGGGGUGCAAAACUUAUUUGAUAUUUUGUCAUGCCACACACACGGAGCAAUAUUUGUCAAGAUCCACUCCCAACCUUGUAGUAAAAUACAUAAAUUGUCCGUGUGAUUUGGUUUAAACAUAUUGGUUUUGUCCUUAUAAAUAAAUUUUCAUUCGGACGAUCCGUGUGGUUUGGUUUUGUUUCAAUUUUGAUCCAUAAAACAUGAAAUUACUAAGUUUCCUUUUAUUGAUUCCUUUGAAAUUUUAUUUUAUUUUUCUGUUUAUUAGAAUAAAUGUUAAUAUAAUAUUUUGAAAAGUCACACCCUUGCCCUUUUGUAACAUCUCAAUGUUUAGGUACUUCUAAGUUCAUCCAUAUAAUUAUAUUUCAUGUCAAAUUGGUCCCUAAGUCCAAGAAUUAUGUUUUGAAGCCCUAGUGACAAUUUUGUAAAUUGGGCAGGAGGACUACGCCAAGCGUAGACGGCAAGACGCGCCCUAGUACGUUGAGCGUACACUUAUGUACGCGGGGCGUACUAAUUUCAGGAGGAAACCCUAAUUUUUAGGGUUUGGGUGGUAUUUAAGCAACAUUAUGGCUCAUUUCUCCCCACCUUUUCAACCCCUACAUCCUUUGAAACGUAUUUGCAAGCCAUAUCCCCCUUAGUGUGUUUUAAGGUUGAGAGUGAAAUCAGGUUAAGCUUUUGGAGUCAUUAGUGUCGGGAUUUCAGGAAGCGUUCAUCUAGUCUCUAGUGGUUGUGCGACCUUUGGAGUGGACUGGUGACUGAUAGCUAGCAAGAUUAGGCAUUGGUAGUUAGCGUGUCUAUCAUGUUAGGGAGGAAGGAAUGGAAAUCCUCCAAUUUUCGCGUGCCGUGAAGACUUAGUCGAAGCAAAGUGGGGGAGAAACGAUCAUGUACUCAGAAGCAGAAGCAGUUUUGAAAAUGGGAUAAGUUCCGCAAUCUUGUUAGGGAGAAAGACGCCCCAAGCGGCCGUAUGAAUUGAGGAUAAUGUGAAUUUGAAGUUCGAAAAACUUGCCAAUAGUGAGAUCACAUUCUCGGAUGUCUGAUAGCAGGUUUCAGAAAAAUUAGGUUGGGAAUUUUAGUCAGGACAUGAAUACAACUUGGGGUACUAGAUCGUGCCUGUAUACACGAUUAUGGGGGGUGUUUAAAUUAGUAGUUAGUGAAAGACCGUGGUCACGUGGAAAGUGUUGUAAGACUGUGGCCUGUAGGAUAGUCGUAGCAUUCACUAGUAGCCAGUCGGCGAGGGAGGUGUUGUAAGACUGCGGGUUAGCCGUAGCAUUAAUCAGUGGCCAAAUAGCAUGAGAAGUGUGGCAAUACUGCGGGGUGUCCCAAGUGUAACAUCCUGAAAUUCAGGUACAACUAUUUAACCCUUCUCUUUUGCCAAGUUGUCAAGAUUAGCCCUUGAGUGGAAAGUGUAGCAAAUGAGUACGUUGGGCGUACUGGGGAGUACGUUGCGCGUACUCAUGCGCUUCAUUUAGACGCGAACUCGCCUAGGUACGCUGGGUGUAGCGGGUCCAGAUGCAAAACCUAAUUUUUGGCUUGUGUACUAUAUAAGGAAUGUUAAGGCUUUAUCCUCAACCACCAUAUCAGAUAGUGAAACCCUAAGAGAGCAUUUCAUUCGUCCUAAAGCUUGUGUGUGAGUGUUUUGAGCUAAAAGUGCUUUUGUGUGUUAGUGAAGAAGAAGGAGAGGAGCUUGUGGAGGCUUGGGUUUGAAGUGCAAGUUUGGAUCUGAGUUCUUCAGAGGGAGGAGCUUCAAUUAGAGGUAAAAAGCCCAGAACUUUCCUCUUUAUUUUGGUUUGGUGUUGCAUGGACCAUUUCUAGGGUUAAAGUCCCAAAGGUGGAGACUUUAUGAGCAUAAGGGACUCCAUGGACCUAGACUUGUCCCAUUUCAGUGAUAUAUGUGUUGUAGACCCAUAAAAAUCCCAACUUGGUCGUUGUUAUGGAGUCAUGCUUGAGUUAUGAGCUUUUUAGUGUUGGAACUGGAAUGUUAUGGGUGUUGGUGACCUUUACAGCCAUGCAAAGGCUUAAAGUCACCAACUUUAUUGAUGAAGAGGUUUAGGGGUGGUCAUAUUUGAAAGUUGGACGUGGGUCUUAACCGUUUAAGACCCCAAAAGCUAAGGAGUCUGAAGCUCGGAGUUACGCAGGGCAUAAUCCCAGUACGCGCAGCGUAGGAGGUCGGGUUCCCUGUUUCUGUGAGGUUGUCGGGUAUGCCCAUCAUACAGGUGUGGUACGCGCAGCUUAACCCAGAGAGUUGACUUUUGGUUGACUUUUAGGGUUUGGUCAAUAUUAGGGUCUUUGAGCCAUGAGAGGGGUAAAUGGUCUUUUACCCUUCUUAGAGUGAUAAGAGAGGGAUUAGUCUAUCCUUGAGAGUUGUAUUGAUUAGAGUGCUUAUUCCAUGUGAUUAGGCGGAGGCUAGACCAGAUUCUUACCGAGUUACCCGAGGUGAGUCUUCUCACUAUACUUUAUCUAGAGUGGUAAUUAGAGUUAUAUGACAGAGUAUAUUGUAUGUUAUUUAUGUGAUUGUGAUGCACUGCAUUAUUUCUAUGUGAUUCAUGUCGUGUAUGUUUCAGAGUUUACAAAGUUAGAACUGGAAGGUUCACAGAGUUAAAACCGGAAGGUUCACAGCGUUAGGACCAGAGGGUCCACAGAGUCAGGACCGGAGGGUCCACGGAGUUAUAGCCUCGAGUGGCUAUUAUGUGUUAUAUGUGGUAUUUUGGGGAACUCACUAAGCAUUUAUGCUUAUAGGGUGGCGUUAUGUGUUUCAGGUACCAGUGAGGAUCGCGGGAAGGCGCCGACAUGAUCAGUACACACAUGAGGAGUUUUUAUACAUUAUGAUCUUGGGUUGUGUUUCCAUGGAUUGAUAUAUGUGAUACAAUGACAUUUUUAUAAUAUUUAUUAAGACAAAAUUACAUAAAUGGUCCUCAUGGUUGACAAAAUCGACCAAUUAUGGUCCUUAUGACGAAUUCUUUACACAGAUGGUCCCUGUGGUUUCAAAAUCUUGCAAAGAUGGUCCUUUUGACUAACGACGUUAAAUUUUUCAGUUAAGUCCUAUGUGAAAUGACAUAUUUACCCUUCAUGCAUAAGGACGCUUUAUGUAAUAUGUUUAUACCACACGGACCAUUUAUGUAAUUCUCUCUAUUAUUAAUUAUUUUUUUUAUUUAUUUUAAUUAUAUAUUUAAGUAUUUAGAUUUGUUUAAAUUUAUUUUUUAAUAUAUAUAUAUAUAUAUACACACACACACACACAUGCAUGCUAACAUUUUUUAACGUUUUGCGCAAAUUAUUUUUUCUAAUCUUUUUGAUAUUUUCUUCAAGUAAAUUUUUUAAUGUUUUUUAUUUUGACGUUUUAUUCGAAUAUUAUUUUUUUUGUUUGACGUUAUGUUCAAAUACAUUUUUUAACAUGUAGUAUGUUUAUAUUUGUUAAAGGAUUUCACGGCUAUUGUAAUUAUAAUUCGUAACUUAAUUCACUUUCAAUUAUGUUUUCAUUUUUUUUUCAUUUAUCAGGUUAUAUAAUUAUUAUUUUUUAAUUCAAAUAUUUAACUAUAUAAGGUUGUAUAAUUAUUAUUUUUGUAAACUAAUUUAUUAACAUUUUUUAUAAAAAAGUGUAAAAUGUUUGUUAAACGUGAAUAUGAUUAAUAUAGAUUAGGUAGACAUAGGCUACGCUGAGACCGCCUCACAACGUUGCCGAGAACGACCGGGUCAUUUCACAUUGGAUUUAAAUGUAAUUAUUUCGAGUUAUUAUUUUUUUGUUUUUAGCAGUGUUGUAAAAAAUCACAACUAGGUCCCGAUUAAUCUCAGAUUAAUCCCUAAGCGCUACCUGACCGAUUAGAGGCCCUUGCGUUGUGAUUUUUUAUAACACUGCUAAAAACAAAAAAAAUAAUAACUCGAAAUAAAUUCAAUGUGAAAUGACCUGGUCGUUCUCGGCAACGUUGUGAGGCGGUCUCAGCUCAGCUUAUGUCUACNUUGGUCGUUCUCGGCAACAUUGUGAGGCGGUCUCAGCUUAGCUUAUGUCUACCUAAUCUAUAUUAAUCAUAUUCACAUUUAACAAACAUUUUACACUUUUUUAUAAAAAAAUGUUAAUAAAUUAGUUAAUAAAAAUAAUAAUUAUACAACCUUCUAUAGUUGAAAAAUGUAUUCAUAACGUCAAAAGAAUAAAUAAAUAAAUAAAUAAUAUUCGAAUAAAAAGUCAAAAUAAAAAACAUUAAUAAAUUUACUUGAAGAAAAUGUCAAAAAGAUUAGAAAAAAUAAUUUGAGCAAAACGUUAAAAAAUGUUAACAUGUAUAUAUAUUAAACAAUAAAUUUAAACAAAUCUAAAUCCUUAAAUAUAUAAUUAAAAUAAAUAAAAAAUAAUAAAUAAUAGAGAAAAUUACAUAAAUGGUCCCUGUGGUAGAAACAUAUUACAUAAAGCGUCCUUAUGCAUGAAGGGAAAAUAUGUCAUUUCACAUAGGACUUAACUGAAAAAGUUAACGCCGUUAGUCAAAAGGACCGUCUUUGCAAGAUUUUGAAACCACAGGGACCAUCUGUGUAAAGAAUUCGUCAUAAGGACCAUAAUUGGUCGAUUUUGUCAACCAUGAGGACCAUUUAUGUAAUUUUGUCAUUUAUUAAUGAAAGUGUGAUUUUAAAAUGUGAAAAAUUGUUUGAAAUUUUUGGUGUUACAAGUUGGUAUCGGAGUCUUGGUUUGAGGGAUUCAUGUGCACCUUCGGGCGUAUUUGAACUCAAACUGAGGAUUUGAGAGAUUUUUCAAAAUAAAAUAACAAAAUUUUCUCAACAAGUAAAAAGUUUUUGAAAAGAGCAGAGCAGAGUAGUGUGUACGAUCAGCCAACGCCCAAACGGUGAUUUCCCAAAAUACAUUUAUAUUAUGUAUUAUGAGAUAUGAGAUAAUAUGUUAUGCAUGCUAGAGUAGGCUAGGUAUUCUUAUUAGGGAUAGAGUUGUCUGAUUUGUGAUGCCUUAGCCUAGGGGUUUUGCUACUAGGAGAUGCUUGAGAGUGAGUAGAUAGCAGCGAUGAGCUUAUGAGAGAUCUGCUAGAGAGUAGACUAUGCAUAGAGAGAGUAGAGUACUUGGGACUUGGGAUCCUAGGAGGAGGACUUGGGGUGAAUAUUGAUUCGGUGUGGACGGUAGUAUUGGUCCCGUACUACCAAAGGCACCAGAUCAGUGCACAGCCCAAGUAAGAAUCCUUAGGGUACCAGGGAUCGAGUAGGAAUGGGAUAUCGAGUGUGAGUACACUCGAGCGAGUCUCUGAUAUUUUGUGUUGUAUUUCAGAGAGACAUCAUGGUUGGGACGCGCCACACACCUGAGAGCAGUGGUGUUAGCGAUGAGGAGAUCCGCAGGUUGAUUCACGAGGAAGUUGUUGCUGCCAUCCGAGCCGAGAUACCAGAGAUGUUUGGGUCUAUCAAGACCACCCUUAUCGAGACUUUUGACGAGCGUUACGCUACUCUUACUGAUGUUGUUGUUGCUGCGGCCACCGCAGUCGUUGCUGCUGCAAGGCCACAAAGGGGGUGACUUGUUGCUGUACCGAGAGUUCAGCAACACGAAGCCACCAGAGUUUGAUGGGACACAGGAUCCGAUCCCUGCGAUGAGAUGGAUUUCUGAUAUUGAGGGUUGCUUCUAUACGUGUUCUUGUCCAGAGCAUCUGAGAGUUCGGUUCGUACUGAACCAGCUUCGCUUGGGGGCGAAGGAUUGGUGGAAGUUUAUGACAGCGCGCUAUUCUUCUGCAGAGCUUUCCGUGGUGACCUGGGAGAGGUUCACCGCUAUGCUUCGUGAUGAGUACGUUCCCCCGAUGGAAAGGGAACGUUUGGCCCAGGAGCUCUUGACCCUCAAGCAAGGUACCAAGUCUGUUACAGUGAUCACCAGGAUGUUCCAUGAGGGGCGAUGUUCUGCCCUGAGCACGUGUCUUCCGAGCAGGCACGCAUGAGUCGAUAUUUGAGCAUCUUAAAGAGAGACAUCCACGAGUUCGUGGCAGACUCGUCGUAACGGACAUUUGCCGAGCUUCGGGCAAAUGCCCGGAAGAGGGAGAUUGAGCUCGAGACCCAGGCCAGGGAGGAGGCUGAUGGGUUUUGGUCCUAAGAACAUCCUAUGUGCUCAUACAAACCCUAACGCUUGGAUCUAGGUUUCUCUAUUGUACAUGCAAGUUAUCCAAGACUAUAAACCCUAAUUCUAGCAUAUAAGUAAUCAUAUUAACAUGAGAAUAGAUUUUUAAUAUUACCUUGAUUGUUAUGUAGCAAUAACAAUCAAAUUCCUCCUUGUAUUGACUUUAGAAAGCAUAGAGUCACAAUUGUCACUUCUCUAAUGGUUCACAAACACCAUAAGCAAGAGGAUGAAGAGGAGAGAGGAUGGAGGGUGCCCAAAAACGUCUACAAACCCUAGAAUAAGUCAUAGCCACGUUUUUGGUCAUAAGGGAUCUCUUUAUAUAGGAGGCAAUUAGGGUUAUCUAACAAGGAAACCCUAAUUUGGAUGCUUAAGCCCUAAAGAUCGGAAGAAGCCCUUUCCUUAAGGCCUUGGACGAUUUCAUAUGGGCUUCCCCCAUAGAAUUCGUCCACCUUAUAAUAAAAGGCAAUCCAUGGCCCAAAUUGCAAUUAUCUUAUAAUUACAAUUCCAGUCCCUUAAGUUUAAUUAAUCUCUUUUAGUCACAAAACUAAUUACUAAUUAAUUAUUGACUAAUAUUAAUUAAACAAUAUGAUUUCUCCUUUAAUAUAUUAUUCUCAUAAUAUAUUAAUAAAUCAUAUUUAAUCCUUUCUCUCCAUAAUUCAUCCUAUCAAGUUGCUUUGGUGAAGGCAACCCAAAAGGACCAUGCACCAUCGGGUCAAGUACAUACCAAAAUAGUUAUGGACUUAGACACUAAUCCAACAGUCUCCCACUUGGAUAAGUCUAAUAACUAUUAUGCGUAUGACUUCAGAUCCUGAUCUGCAAUCGUAGCUUUCCAAAGCCGCUGUCAACUCUGAUCCUAUCAGAUACGCGUGUCCUUAGAUAAGGGAUCAUAUAUUCCUCCAUUCUAGAUAUCAUAUGAGAUAUGAUUUCAAAUCAUUCUCUUUGUACUAUAUCUCGAUUCCCGAUUUAUGACGACUGACUAAUUGAACAAAUCAAAUUAGCCCUAGCCCGGCCGAGCAUUUACGUUUGUCAUCACUAAAUCAUCGAGGGGCCCAAAGAUAUCGCUUUUAUCCUACUUUGGAUAAAAGGAACGGAUAAACUUUGAUACAAUGCUUGCUUGUACUCACGCACCGGAUCACACACAACAAUAUGUUUUAUAACACCAAGUUACUAGUGCGUUUACAUAUUAUCAAUGUGCAACCGAUUUGCAAGAUACAACUCACACAUCUCGGUUUCAAGAAUAUAAGAUGUUAUCGUCUCACCAAUCACUCGUGAUACAAUUCAUGGAGUGAUCCAAGUGAGCGUGGGUUUAAUCCAAUGCUCAAAUCAUAUUCAUAAGCACUCAUGAACGUUGCAGCAAACAUUUGCUUAUGUCUAAUACUCUUUCAGACAAUCCACACACCAAUUCACGACAGUCUUCAUUCAUAUAUACUUCCAACAUAUGAACGACUGUGGCCCGUUCGAAUAAUUCGAUUAUUCUUAAUAAAUUCAAUUAUUCUGGAAGCUAAAACAUGCAAAUGUGAAACACAAGAAUAAUACUAAUCCCAUAUGGCCUCAAACCUUUGAGUACAAAUAAAACUUCUUUUAUUUAUCACCAUAUCGAUUACUCAUUAUUUGUCGUUUCAGGUAAUCAACUUCUUACUUGAAUUAUUACACUUGUCCCAUGCUCUUAGCAUGCACACAAUGUUUACCUAUGGUUCUUACUUUUGUAAAAUAGAUCAAAUUGAACACAUUUCCAAUCAUUCUCAUUUCAGAACUCCAAAUCCUUUUUCAUAAGCGUGAGAAUAUCAAAUUAUUGUUACUUAUAAGAUAUGCUAGAUUCUAUGUAACAUCCCCCUCUGACACGUAUCACAAUAUUGUCUGCUUUGGCCCAUUCAGCACGACGACUUCCCAGGGGGUCACCCAUCCUGGUACUACUCCCGCCCGAGCACGCUUAACUGCAGAGUUCUUAUGGGACCUGCUGCCCUCACGACUUUAAAACGCGUUGUGAUAGGGAANNNNNNNNNNNNNNNNNNNNNNNNNNNNNNNNNNNNNNNNNNNNNNNNNNNNNNNNNNNNNNNNNNNNNNNNNNNNNNNNNNNNNNNNNNNNNNNNNNNNNNNNNNNNNNNNNNNNNNNNNNNNNNNNNNNNNNNNNNNNNNNNNNNNNNNNNNNNNNNNNNNNNNNNNNNNNNNNNNNNNNNNNNNNNNNNNNNNNNNNNNNNNNNNNNNNNNNNNNNNNNNNNNNNNNNNNNNNNNAAUAUGCUAGAUUCUAACAUUCUAUGCAACGAUCCUUUCGUAAUGUCACUGCACCAAAGUCACAAAGACUAUUGCCAAUGAUAUUACAAAGUCCUCUAUCGGAGAUUGUUACAAGACAAUUCCAUAGAUGUGAUGUCUCUCACUCAAAGUACUUUCUUUGAACAUCCUUUUGCAUAGAAGUUUCUAAUCUAGUCAUAGAUUUCUCAAUAUUCAAUUCCCAAUAUGGACACACUUCCAUAUUUUCCAUAUGACAACUCAUUCUUAAUAGAAUCUUAUCUAUUCGUAAUGAUGUCGAUAUGGUCCAUCUUGUAUGGAAACAGUUCCAUAAUUUCCAUAUGACAACUCAUUCUUAAUAGAAUCUUUUCUAUUCAUAAUAAUGUCGAUAUGGUCCAUCCAAUACCAUGCUUCCAACUACUCACAAGCGACCAAUCCUCGUCGAACUUUGGAUUGUCCUUUGAUAGUUGUUUAAUUAUUUUAGUCAAAACCAAUUCUAGUCCCUUUUCCCUCUAAAUGCGCUCGACAUUUGGAAAAUUUUAGAAUGGUCAAACAUUAAAGCAUUUGCAAUCGAUCCUAUACCCGAAGCGUAUGGGACACGACGCAUAAUGUUUUAUUUGCUAUGUUCUCAAAAUUCGAAUUGUGAAGAGGAAUGCCGUAAUCAUAAUCGAAAUUUUAAGAACACACUAUGUACCUUUGACUAAAUUUAUUAACAUUUCUCAACCUAAGCCUUUAGAUUUGAAAUGAAGCAUAAUAUUCUCUCCCUUAAUUAUAGCAAAACAACUUUACAACCCUUACGACUUUGCAAGGUAUAACUCUUGUUUUCUAUAAUUAAUAUUGCCAACUUGCAAUACUUUCCUUAAUAAUCAUACAAUCAUAACAUUUAUGCUCCCACUAUCAUGAUGAUUAUUAUAAAACAUAACACUUAUGCUCCCACUAGCUUCGACAUGUAUUCAUAAACAUCUUAACUUUCAGAAAAACAAUACUUAUUGAAUUUCUUAAGUUCAUGUUUCUAAUACUUAGUGCUUUGAUAAUCUUUUAUCAAGGCUUCUUGAACUUAUACACCUUUGCCUUCGAUAGUUCAUAUGUGUGUCUAAACAAUUAAGACUAAUUGCCAAACCUCACAAUUCAAAUUAUGGAAAGGGAUACCGUAACCAUAAUCGAAUUCGAGAAUGCAAUUUUACAAUCACUAUCUUCUUAAAAUCUUUCUUAGUGAAAGCAUUUCCUCACAGUCAUUUUCAUGAAGGAGGGAAUCUUAUGACACUUAGAUUUUAAUGGUGUAUGUGUUCCUAUCCAUGUGAAUUUGUCAAAACCAAAGUUUACAACAAAUUCAAACUCAUAUGGACCGAACUUUCUUAAUCUUGAUUUCUUGCCUUAUGGUAGCACAGCUGCCCACCAUGUCUUCCAAGUAGUUAAGCAGCUCACCCUUUCCUAUCAAUGUACCUUUCAUUGAUUAAGGUGCUUUGCCUUUUAUGCGUUCAAAAUGAGAACUCAUAGAACUCACAUGCAUAAUUAACUCGAUUGGAUUGGCACAGAAACAAAAUAAUGUCAACACGAUAGGUUGUAAACCUCAACUCGUGUGCUAGUGAUGAUCGAUAAGGUUUAUUUGAUUUGUUCUUGAAACCUUUCAAGACCAUUAAGACUCCCACUGACUCCUUGACAUAUAAGAUUCUCUUGUCAAUAAACAUUUCUUGACAAACAAAUAUUCAAGAGUUAGUGUAGCUUUUAUCAAAACACUUCAUAAAUUGGUCCUAGUUGGUCUUUGUCUUAUCCAAGACAUCACAACUUUCCACAUUUGAUGAAUGUUAUAAACCUUCUUAAUACUUUUCACUCAAUGUCACAAUCUUAACUCUAAGACUUGUUUUGGAACGAAGUAUGAUUGACUUCUUGAUUUAACCAUUUCUUCAAUUCUUGAUUCCUCUUCUUAGACAUACAAUUGUACUAAGACUCACUUAGAGGAUCAAUUGAGAUAUGGUUCUUAAUCAUUAAGACCUAUCAUAAAGCAUAAAAGGUACUCUCCCUUCUUCUUAGAAUGGAGAAACUUUUAUCUUUCUGCCUACUUGAUUCUUCUUAUUCGUUCUGCUAUUGAUUUAAACUUUUUCAAUCAAUUCAGAAUUACACUUAAUCUUGUAAGUAUAAUCAUAUUUACUAAACCUUUAGUAAAUCAUGACGAAUAUCUUUGUUACUCUUAUGGUGGACUUGAUCAACACGCAACUUUGUGUACUCGAUCUCCUAGUCCUUCACUUGACACUUUGUCAAUGAAUUAGUCUAAUUUCCAAAUAUGAAAUUUCUCAUUCAUCGUGCAACCAAGUUGCAUGAUUCCAAGUUUCUGUCCAAUUGAAACUUGGGCGAUGAGAAACUCUCCCUAUUUGGUAAACUCUCGACUUUCCAUAAAUAACAUAAUAAGAACCAAAUCCAUUAUUGCUAAUAAUAGAAACAUUCAAACAUCAAUUUUUCAUAUACGCCAUUGCAAGGAUAAAUAAAUAAUAUAAAAUCAAAAUUUAUUUUAUUGCGGAAAAAAUUUGUCCUUACAAUGCAAUUCAUUGAAAAACUAUGCUAAUACAUCUUUCUUAGCAAUCUAAUUCUAACUCUAAGUAGUAGCUCAAGAAUCUAAUCUUCGAGAAAUGCGAUCGAAAUCCAUUCCUUCACGGUUAGAUUCUGCUCACUUCUUCCCUUAAGCUUCCUUUCUUUUCUUCGAUCCUACAAAACAUCAAUUGUAAUCUUAUCACAUUAUGUAUUAAGAAUCUAGAAUAGAAGCUUAAAAGAGUUAGUUAAUGGAUUUUACCUAUAUUAGAGCCAUACGUUUCGACUCUCCCAUCUCUUAGAUCUCUUAGGUAAAUGGGGCAGCUUCGUCUCCAAUGCCCUUUCUCUUGGCAAUAAAAGCAAAUUGACUCUUUUGGAACAUGACAUGGAACUACUUCAGACAUUGCCUUUCUCUUAUGAUCAAACUUUUCGAUCAUAGCAUGUCUUUCGUUGCCAUUGUCUAUAUCCAUAGAGGUCUUGAAGGCAGAUUCACCAAUCAACUUUGCUUUUCUAUUGCGCCAAACCAUUGCUGAUUCAGCAGCAAUAAGCAUAUAGGUGAGAUCUAUA
rnacentral:lncRNA from 1 species